GGGCUCGAACCUAGGUAAAACAUCGUGUCCCCUGCCUCCUGUUACCAUCCGCCUUAGACGCACAGUUCGGGAUCCCGUACCCGAGAUCCGCCGGUUUUGACACCGACAACAUGUAUGACUAUCUUGAUUCUGUCAUAAAAUCAUCAUGGAUGUACAUGCAUGAUAGAAAACAUGACCUACUGUGACAAAGACGUAUCAUCAUGGAAGUGUUUUUUGUAGUGAGAGGUGGUAUCAUGUCGCGAUCACGAUCUCAAACCGACUUGGUCUCCAAGUCAAACUUACCGGACAAGGAAACAAUGAACUUCUCCGUCAAGACACCAAAAAAUAAAACGACGAAAGGAAGUUGCGCCCUGCAAGGCAACGGACCGGCGCACGCGUGUGGUCUUCUCUUUCUCUUCUCAACACACCACUUGGAGUGGUGGAGAGAACCCUCUAUAUAAAGAGGCCCAAUACUUCCUCAACUAUCGGUAUGGGACUAAACUUCAGCACCACACCACCACUUGCCAUUUUUCUCAUGGGCUCAUUUGAGAUUCCAGAAUUUGUUAGAGUGUCUACAACCAAACUUGGCAAAUCCGAUGUCACACCAUAGCUAGUUCAUGCAUUAGAGUGUUGCAUCAUGUUUAUUCUUUCAUCAGAAACCUGAAAUGGGGAUGACAGAACCCCCAGCUCCCUCUGAAACCAACUAGGGUUUACUAAAAACUUUUUCAAUGAACCUGAAAUGCCCUUCUAAAAUGCCCAUCAUUUUUGUCUUGGUUCAGAACCUCUGCCAGAAGUGAUGCACAUUUUCCUAGGCCAUCUCAGGGUUUUUGAAUUAAAUCAUAAAUAUUUGAAUUUGGGCAUUUAAAAUUAUAUAAAAUAUUUAAAAGAUCAAAUAUCUCCAAACUAAAAUGUUUCAUGUUGGAAAUAAUCCAACUAUGGACCAGGAGCAGUUUGGUGAUUUUAGGAGUUGCCUAGGUAUUUUUAUUAAUUCAACAAAGUUGCAAAAGUACUAAAAAAAUAGAAAACAGAAAAAAAAUAGAAAAACCUACCUGGCGCCCAGCACCCGGCCCACCUGCCGGCCCAGCCCAGCGCCGCUCCAGCGAGCUGCUUGCCGGCCAGGCAGGCAGGCAGGUGCCCGACGGCGACCGCAGCGCGCGCCACGCAGCUGGCUGCCGCCCUGCUCCACCUCCUCGCCUCAGGGCUGGAUGGAUGAGCUCCACGCAGCGCCGUGAACCCGCAGGACAUCUCCAUUCUUCCCCAACCCCUCUCUCUCGCGCUCCCCCGCCAUGGCCGACGCCAUUGCCGCCACCCCCUCGCCGUAGCCACGCCCUCCGUCAACCCCACGCCGUGCCGCCGUGUCCAGGAGCUCCGCCACCCUCCUCUCAUUCGAGCAAGCCGAGCCCCGAGCGCUCGCAAGGCCCGAGCCCACCGCAUCGAACUCGACCGAACCGCCGUCGCCGGAGAUCCCCUUCAACGCCGUCGUCGCUCCGGUCCGUCCCCGGCCGCACCAAGGGCUUCGUCGAACUCCCCGUGAGCUUAGCCAUCUUCCCCUCCCUUCUUUUCCUGCUCCCGAGCCGUGUAGCAACCUCCCGGAGCUCAACCGCACCCACCGCCGCAGAGCUCGUCGCCGACGUGCUCCCGGUCAUCUUCCGGCCACUCCAUGGUGUCCAUCAUGCUCACCGCGUCACGUAGCACCUAACUAGCUACUCCCCGCACCUCACCGACCCCUCUUGCGUCAAAUUCGAUUUCGGCCGAACUCCGGUGGCCGCCAAAGUCGUCGCCGGCGCCAACUCCGGCCACCCCGACCCCAACGGACUCCACCAAGAGCUGCGGUUCGUCCUCAGCUCCUCUCCGGUGGCCUCCGCGGCUCGUUUGGUUGCCGGAAUGGCAAAAACCACUUCCGCCGCCGCGUCGGGCUCGCCGGCGGCUAAACGCCGGUGCAGCCGACCCGGGUUUGACCAUGGGUGGGCCCUGGUUGACUCUCCUGAGUCAAUGACAGGUGGGGCCCAGCCCUGUUAACUAAUUAGGAUUAGUUUAAAUUAAUUUUAGUUUAAUUAAUCACACUAACACGCGGGACCCACUGUCAGGUUUGACCCGGACGUGUCGCGUUGACCUGCUGAUGUCACACUGACGUCAGGCUGACGCAAUAAAUUAAUUUCUGGAUUUAAUCUAAUAUAGGAAAUUCCAGAAUAUAGUUUAAACUUCAAAAAUUCAUAACUUUUAUUCUGUAACUCCAAAUCAGACAAAUUAUAUAUGAAAAAUGAUCAGAAAAAUCCAAUCUAUCCAUCUGUACUAUUUUCAUGCAUGAUUAAACAAGUUAACUUGAUGUUUAAUGCAGAACAAGGAAAAACACUUUAAAGGGCCAUGUUUGAGUUUGAAAUUUGAAUCUUUGAUUCAAAUUGGUUCAAACCCUUCUGGUCUUAGUUGCAUUAGCCCAACACACUCAUAUUGCCAUGUUUCAUGCAUGCAUCAUAUUGUUGCACAUUGUUUGGUGAUGGUUGUGUAUCGGUGUUCUUUGCGGCAGGUUCUGCCUCCGAGGAGUACCGUGAUUACCCUAACGAAGAACCGUAUCAGUGCAUCGAACCAUCAGGCAAGCAACCAACCAUUUGAUCAUAUCGAUACAAUCCCAUGUUCUCGCUCCUGCUCUCUUUUACUGCAUUAAGACAAUGCGUUUCAAACUGUUGUGUGCUACGGUAGUUGAACCCACUUCCUCUGCAUGACCUGCCAUUGCCACGGUAACUAGAUGAAACCCACUAGUAUGUGUAGGAGUUGAUUGAGCCAUAUGUAUGUGUUGUUCCUACCUUGCCAUGCCUACUAUGCUUAGAGUCGUGUCAGGUCUGGUUCAUUUGGGUGAUGGGCUAGAGUGAAAUGAUUAUGUCGGUAACGAGAGUGGUGUGGUGAACACGAUUUGGUAAAGGUAUCGAUGAAAGGCCAUGUAGGAGUACAUGGUGGGUUGUUUCGUUGAAGCCGACCUUAAGCACUGAGAUCUGUAUGUGUGAUUUAAGAUACAGCUACUACCAUGCAUUGGGCCCUGAAAUAUGACCCCGCUCGACUUCUUAUCCACCCUAGUUCUCUGUCCAGGAGUUGCAAGUAGUUUCUGGUGUUUGUAGCCUACUGGAGGCCGUGGACAGCUGACCGUAGGGGUGGGCUAUGAUGCGGUAGGUACGUGGCACGGUGUACCGAAUACCCGUUAGGUAUCUCGGGAACCCUGUUCACAUCGUUUGGGGCUGUGAGCGAAACCUCGGCCGGGUCUCCUCAUGGAUGGAACCCGAAUAGGCGAUAAACCUGGACUAGAGACUUAAGUGUUUAGGUAGGUCGUGGUCUACACCCACGUCGGCUUUCGCUUGAAGUCUGCCGAGCACAUGUCGUGUGCAGACGCUAAGUGGUGGAAACAUGUAUGAAGAAGUACACCCCUGCAGGGUUAACAUGAUCUAUUCGAAUAGCCGCGUCCGCGGUAAAGGACUACUUGGUUGCCUAUAUAGUUCAUAGACAAGUAAAUGGAAACUACUAAAAGCCUCAAGAUAAGUGUGAGUGCGGAGGAUGGCUCUUCCGUAGGAAGACGGGGGUGGAUCCUCGGUAGUGUAUUGAAGUGGUGAGUAGUGGACUCGUGUACGCAAAACCAUUUCAAAUUGGAGUCUCGUAGGAUAGCCUAGCCAAGAGUCAAAGCUGGCUUGCUGCAACAACUCCACCAACCCUUCUUGAUAAUGUGCAUGUAUGUAGGAUCUUAUGUAAGUCUUGCUGAGUACCUUUGUACUCAUGUUGCUAUAAUCUACAUUUUUACAGAAGACGCUGCAACCCCUUCUGAUGGGUUCUUCGUAGACGUUGAUAUCAAUGAGUAGGCUAAGGCCCAGGUGGUGAUCCUGAGCUUGUGAAGGACCACGUAGUAUAGCUAGGUUUUCCAAGCCUCUUUUAUUUUACUAGUUGUCUGUACCCAGACAAGUUACUUCUGCUGCUGGUUUGUAUGACUGUAUGACUUGAAUGCUGGGUCGUGUGACCCGUACCUAUGUGUAUGUUAUGUAUGGCUCUCUGAGCCUUAAAUAAAGUACUUGUGUCGUAGAGUCAUGUUGUGAGGCCAUGUUGUAUUUGCACAUAUCGAGCAUACUGUGUGUAUGUUAUUGAAAUGCUUGGUAUGUGUGGGAUCUGACUAUCUAGUUGUUUAUCUUUAGUAGCCUCUCUUACCGGGAAAUGUCUCCUAGUGUUACCGCUGAGCCAUGGUAGCUUGCUACUGCUCUGGAACACUUAGGCUGGCCGACAUGUGUCCUUCUUCGUUCCGGUGUCUGUCCCUUCGGGGAAAUGUCACGCAUUGAGUACCGGAGUCCUGUUAGCCCGCUACAGCCCGGUUUACCGGAGUCCUGCUAGCCCAGUGCUACAGCCCGGACCCACUUGCUGAUGACCGACACGUUCGUUGCUGGGUCAUGGAUGCCUGUCCCUGUAAGUCUGUGCCACUUUGGGUUUACGACUAGCCAUGUCAGCCCGGGCUCCUUAUCAUAUGGGUGCUAGCAACACUAUCAUAUACGUGUGCCAAAAGGCGCAAACGGUCCCGGGCAAAGGUAAGGCGACACCCGUGGGAAUACCGUGCGUGAGGCCGCAAAGUGAUAUGAGGUGUUACAUGCUAGACCUAUGUGGCAUCGAGUCGGGGUCCUGACAGCGUUGGUAUCAGAGCCGGACUGCCUGUAGGUUCUCCAAGCCAAACUGGUCGAUGUUGAGUUUAGAAAUUCUUUAGUUAUAUGUAGGGGAAUUGUUUGUGGGUUGGAACGUAAGGCUCUUUUUACUCCUUUAUCUUAUGACAUUCUGAUCUGAGUCAGUCUAUUCUUCCACCGGGGGUUAAGGAAUUAGGAUCUAUUCUCUCUAUCAGGAUCACGUGUUACUAAUCAGUAGUACCUUAUAGGUUUGAUGGAUACAAGCCUAGUACAGUUCUACUACCACAUCAUGUUGUUAGGAUGGACUCAGAACUUUGAUAUGAUGAUGUUGAGUGUGUAUGAAAUCCUUUGUCAAAUGUCUCAAAACCCUUCUUGAGCAUUUACAGCUGUUAUGCUGCCGAAAUUUUGCUAGAAAUUCUAAUGCCUUUGCAUUAUGGUUGUGCUUUCAGAUGGCCACUCGCGACCUUAAUCAAGUGGUUCGCCUGACUCGAUGCCUAGAUGUACCCGGCCAUACCGCCAUGUUGGUCAGGGUAAUGACUGAGGCUGGAUACCGUUGGUAUCCUGAGUACACGGUCGAGGAGCAAUUUCGAGACUUUAAUCAAAGCCAGUAUCUCUGCACUGUCAGGAUAUUUCCAUCUUAUCCUGGAUCCACCGAGCCCCUUCACUGCUCCUAUGGACUCGGGGUUACUAUUGAGAUGGCUGUGCAGGAUGCCGCCUACUCUAUGAUGACCAUCAUGCGAGUCAGGUCUGGUCUAUUUCGGGACUCUGAUUUCCGGUAUAUGCCAGGAUCACUUCCGGGAGCACAAGGGUAUCUCCAGGCUAUCUAUGCUAACCCCACUCGGGAGGAUUCACGGACUCGCACCACUGCUGAGAUGCUCGAGGAUAAGGAUCGUGAAAAUCGGGCCUUGAGGCUAGAGCUUUUCAAUACCCGUGCUGACCAUUGGGCCACGUUGACUCGGUUUGCACCGGCGGUGCAAGCUGGAUAUUCGGAUAUGCGCGAUCUCUAUCCUGUGAGAUCUGCUCUGCCAGACGUGAUGGGUUGGCGUGAUGUAGGAGGCAUCACCCCACCUCGUGGUCCCCGCAGGCCACCGUCUGUUGGUCCAAGACCUCAUCCUAGCCCCUAUGGUCCACAAGCUCUGCGAGAUCGUCUGUUCCCGGAUGAUCAUGUUGAGCUUCCAGGCUAUGGAGGUGACUUCUACGAGGACUACUACGGAUCGGUCUGAGUUAGUGGUAGUAUCACUAGUUCGUACUAGCUGUGUCGUCUAUCGUCCUGCGUGAUUCGUGGGAUAUGAGCUAGUUUGUACCGCCUUCCGGAGGUGUAGAAAAAUAAUGUAUAGGAGCUUGGGAUGCCUCCGAUGAGAUGUGAUCCUCUUUUCACCGUAAUAGUACCUUGUUUGGUCUUGUACUAAACCUUGUAUGGUGUGUAUGACGAUGGAAUAAAGAAGCAGUUUCUGUAUCUACCAUGUCAUACGGAUGAUCAUCUUGCAUUCCGAGUUACUCCUUACAUUCUGUAUCCUGUGUCGGAAUCUUAUCAUUCUGACUAAAUCAUUGUCUUGUUUACCUAGGAUGGUCAACACGCGCAAUAACCCUGCUCCUCAAGAGCAGGCCGAAGGCAGUGAAGUCAGGAAUGCAAAUCUGCCUCAUCCUCCUUCCCUAGCCGAGGUUAUGAUGGAAGCCGAAAGAAACAAGCGGGAGACCAACCGUUUGUUGGAGCGUAUUGAACAGAACACAGCACACCAUCAGAGGACUAACGUGGUGUCACUCAGUGAUUUCAUCAAGUUACAUCCACCCACGUUCCACCACUCCGUCGAGCCUCUCGACGCUGAUGACUGGCUUCGCAGUAUUUCUCACAAACUGCGCUCCGCGCUAGUAGCCGAGGCUGACAAGGUCACCUUUGCUGCAUAUCAUCUUGAAGGCCCCGCCAGUCUCUGGUGGGAGAAUUAUGGAGCUAUGCGCCCAGCGGGCCAUGUCACUACUUGGGCUGAAUUCAGCGAGGCUUUCCGCGAACAUCACAUUCCGGAGGGUCUCAUGGACCGUAAACGUGAGGAAUUUUGCAGUUUCACUCAGGGCCGACUCUCUGUGGAUGCUUACAGCAGGGAGUUCGGUAACCUCACACGAUAUGCCACUGAGGAAGUUUCUACUGAUGCCAAGAAGCAAGCAAGGUUCCGUAAGGGACUUAUUCCUGAGCUUCGCCGCGACCUCCGUCUGCAUGAGUGCACAUCUUUUCAGAAGCUUGUUAACAAGGCCAUCAGUGCUGAGACUGGUCAGUCUGAUUAUGACGCAACACGCAAGCAUGGACGUGACGUGGGUUCCUCAUCCGGUGCUGGCCCUCAGAAGCGCCGCGUGUGGGUGCCCAACACUGCCCUGCCACCCAGGUUCUCACCGAGGCCAUCCAUCUAGGCGCCUCGCCCCGUUCAACAGUCUGCACCAGCCAAGCCCUAUGGUGGUCCAACCAACAAUGCUCCUCCACGUACCAGUUCUGUGACUUGCUUUAAGUGUGGGGAAUCUGGCCACUAUAUGUGCGAGUGUCCCCAGACCAACCCCAACCAAUCUGCUAAAGCUGUUGGCCGUGGCAAGCCGACAGGGAAAGUGUUCCACGCCAAGCCGGCCACCGCUACACGUGGCCAUGUCAACUGUAUCUCUGCCGAAGAAGCUCAAGAGGAUCCCAACGUUGUUCUCGGUACGCUCCUUGUUAAUUGCCACCCGGCAUCUGUUCUUUUCGAUACAGGAGCAUCUCAUUCAUUCAUAUCCGAGAACUAUGCUCGCUUGCAUAACACCGCAUUCUGUGACAUGCCAUCCUCUAUGGUAAUUCAAACUCCGGGAUCCAAAUGGCAAACUUCUAGAGUAAGCCAUGGAAAUGAAAUUCAAGUCGACACACAUGUUUUCCUCGCAUCUUUGAUAGCCCUUAAAUCUUCAGAUAUUAAUAUCAUCUUGGGUAUGGACUGGAUGUCAGCCCAUCAUGCCAAAAUUGAUUGCUUCUCUAGGACUGUUCAACUCACCCAUCCUUCGGGGAAGAUAGUCAAUGUCUUGACCCGAUUAGCCAAGCGACAGUUAUAUUCUCUUAACGCCAGCCCAUUGCCAGACCUUGAGGACGUUCCGGUAGUCCGUGACUUCCCGGAUGUCUUCCCAGAGGAAUUGCCAGGUGUUCCACCUGACAGGGAUGUGGAGUUCGUAAUAGACCUCAUUCCAGGAACCGUUCCGAUUGCUAGAAGACCCUAUAAGAUGGCACCACUAGAACUAGCCGAGCUUAAGAAACAACUCGAUGAGUCCUUGAAAAAGGGUUUCAUCCGACCUAGUUCAUCUCCAUGGGCUUGCCCCGUCCUCUUCGUCAAGAAGAAGGAUGGUACGGACCGGAUGGCUGUAGAUUAUCGACCUGUCAAUUUGGUCACAAUCAAGAACAAAUAUCCGCUCCCCAGGAUCAACGACCUGUAUGAUCAGCUCGCUGGAUCCUCAGUCUUCUCUAAAAUGGAUUUGAGGUUGGGUUACCAUCAAAUCAAAAUCAGGAACGGGGACAUUCCUAAAACGGCCUUUGUCUCUCGUUAUGGUCAAUACGAGUACACCGUCAUGUCCUUCGGUUUAACCAACGCUCCAGCCACUUUUUCUCGGUUAAUGAACUCAAUCUUCAUGGAGUACUUGGAUAAAUUCGUCGUGGUUUACCUCGAUGAUAUACUCAUCUACUCCAAGAGCGAGGAAGAACAUGUCGAACAUCUAAGGCUAGUGUUGAAGAAACUUCGAGAGCAUUGCCUUUAUGCCAAAUUUUCUAAAUGUGAAUUAUGGUUGUCAGAAGUGACCUAUCUGGGUCAUGUAAUAUCUGGUAAAGGUAUUGCUGUUAACCCUGAGCGAGUUCAAGCCGUCCUUAAUUGGACUCCACCUGAAUCGGUCAAGCAAGUUCGGAGUUUCCUUGGCCUAGCAAGCUAUUGUCGUCGCUUUGUCGAAAACUUCUCCAAAGUUGCUAAACCUCUAACCGAACUCCUCAAGAAAGAUAAGAAGUUCGAAUGGACUCCACAAUGUGAGCACAGCUUUCAGGAACUGAAAAGACGCCUGACUUCUGCUCCCGUACUGGUACUGGCAGACUUCUCCAAGGACUUUGUUAUCUACUGUGACGCCUCACGACAAGGACUAGGUUGCAUUCUCAUGCAAGAUCGACACGUAAUUGCUUAUGCUUCACGGCAAUUGCACCCACAUGAGGAGAAUUAUCCUACUCAUGAUCUAGAGCUUGCAGCCGUAGUCUAUGCACUUAAGACCUGGCGACAUUACCUCCUCGGUAAUCGUUGCGAAAUAUUCACUGACCACCAAAGUCUGAAGUACAUCUUCACCCAACCGGAUUUGAAUCUCAGGCAAAGACGUUGGGUUGAGUUGAUCACAGAUUUCGACUUAGGAAUAACUUACACCCCAGGGAAAGCCAACAUCAUGGCUGAUGCGCUAAGUCGUAAAUCUUAUUGUAACAACCUGAUGUUACAACAAAGUCAACUGCUUCUCCGUGAGGAAUUUUGGAAGCUUAACCUUCACAUUGUUCCUCAAGGUUUUCUUUCCACCUUGGUGGCAAAACCUACCCUUACGGAUCAGAUCAUCAAAGCACAAAAGGUAGAUCCAGGAAUUUCCCGCAUCAAGAGAAACAUCAAGAAAGGAGUUGCAAAUUGUUUCUCCAUGGAUGAUCAAGGGGUCGUAUACUUCGGGAAUCGACUAGUGGUUCCCAAGGUGCGAAACCUGAGAUGAUUGAUCCUUAAGGAAGCUCAUGAAUCUCCUCUCACCAUUCAUCCCGGUAGUACCAAGAUGUAUCAGGACCUACGCCAGAGGUUCUGGUGGACUAGGAUGAAGAGAGAAAUUGCUCAGUAUAUUGCUAAUUGUGACGUCUGCCAUCGUGUAAAAGCAGAGCAUCAACGGCCUGCUGGCACCCUUCAACCCUUAGCUAUUCCUGAAUGGAAAUGGGAUAAAAUUGGUAUGGAUUUCAUUACCGGUUUUCCCAGGACCAAGAGAGGAAAUAAUGCUAUCUUUGUCGUUGUCGAUCGUCUUUCCAAAGUGGCCCAUUUCUUACCUGUUCGUGAGAGUAUAACUACUAGUCAAUUGGCAGACUUAUACAUCUCCCGAAUCGUGUCUCUCCAUGGUGUUCCUUUGGAAAUUAACUCGAAUCGAGGAAGUCUUUUCACCUCUCGAUUUUGGGAAAGUUUCCAAAAUACUAUGGGAACCCGCCUUUCCUUUAGCACCGCUUUUCACCCUCAAUCGAGUGGUCAGGUAGAACGCGUCAACCAGAUCCUAGAAGACAUGCUUCGAGCCUCUGUUAUCUCAUUCGGAAUGGAGUGGGAGAAAUGCCUUCCAUUUGCCGAAUUCGCUUACAACAACAGCUACCAAUCUAGCUUGGGUAAAGCCCCUUUUGAAGUUCUCUAUGGACGACGGUGUCGAACACCCCUUAACUGGUCAGAAACCGGGGAAAGACAAUUCUUUGGCCCAGAUAUGAUUCAGGAAGCGGAAGAGCAAGUUCGCAUCGUUCGUGAAAAGUUGAAAACAGCCCAAUCUCGUCAAAAGAGUCAAUAUGACCGAAAACAUAAGGCUAUGACUUUCGAGGUUGACGAGAAGGCUUACCUUCGGGUUACUCCUCUGAAGGGAACCCAUCGCUUCGGUAUCAAAGGCAAAUUGGCUCCCCGUUACAUUGGACCUUUUCGUAUUCUCGCUAAACGAGGAGAAGUUGCCUACCAAUUAGAACUACCUCCGCAUCUCUCUAGAGUCCACGAUGUUUUCCACGUUUCUCAACUCAGGCGUUGCUUCUCGGAUCCUAUCCGUGGAGUGGACCACGAAACGCUUGAUCUCCAAGAUAAUCUCACGUAUCGAGAGUAUCCCAUUCGUAUCCUCGAUCAGGCCGAGCGUACCACUCGAUGUCAUAAUAUCAAGUUUCUCAAAGUUCAAUGGUCGCACCAUUCUGAGGAUGAAGCAACUUGGGAAAGGGAGGAUCGUCUUCGACUCGAGUAUCCCGCCUUCUUCCCGGAGGAACCCAAAUCUCGGGACGAGAUUCUUUUGAGUGGGGGUGAGUUGUCACACCCUAGCUAGUUCAUGCAUUAGAGUGUUGCAUCAUGUUUAUUCUUUCAUCAGAAACCUGAAAUGGGGAUGAUAGAACCCCCAGCUCCCUCUGAAACCAACUAGGGUUUACUAAAAACUUUUUCAAUGAACCUGAAAUGCCCUUCUAAAAUGCCCAUCAUUUUUGUCUUGGUUCAGAACCUCUGCCAGAAGUGAUGCACAUUUUCCUAGGCCAUCUCAGGGUUUUUGAAUUAAAUCAUAAAUAUUUGAAUUUGGGCAUUUAAAAUUAUAUAAAAUAUUUAAAUGCUCAAAUAUCUCCAAACUAAAAUGUUUCAUGUUGGAAAUAAUCCAACUAUGGACCAGGAGUAGUUUGGUGAUUUUAGGAGUUGCCUAGGUAUUUUUAUUAAUUCAACAAAGUUGCAAAAGUAUUAAAAAAACAGAAAACAGAAAAGAAUAGAAAAACCUACCUGGACCGAACCGCCGUCGCCGCAGAUCCCCUUCAACGCCGUCGUCGCUCCGGUCCGUCCCCGGCCGCACCAAGGGCUUCGUCGAACUCCCCGUGAGCUUAGCCAUCUUCCCCUCCCUUCUUUUCCUGCUCCCGAGCCGUGUAGCGACCUCCCGGAGCUCAACCGCACCCACCGCCGCAGAGCUCGUCGCCGACGUGCUCCCGGUCAUCUUCCGGCCACUCCACGGUGUCCAUCAUGCUCACCGCGUCACGUAGCACCUAACUAGCUACUCCCCGCACCUCACCGACCCCUCUUGCGUCAAGUUCGAUUUCGGCCGAACCCCGGUGGCCGCCAAAGUCGUCGCCGGUGCCAACUCCGGCCACCCCGACCCCAACGGACUCCACCAAGAGCUGCGGUUCGUCCUCAGCUCCUCUCCGGUGGCCUCCGCGGCUCGUUUGGUUGCCGGAAUGGCAAAAACCACUUCCGCCGCCGCGUCGGGCUCGCCGGCGGCUAAACACCGGUGCAGCCGACCCGGGUUUGACCACGGGUGGGCCCUGGUUGACUCUCCUGAGUCAAUGACAGGUGGGGCCCAGCCCUGUUAACUAAUUAGGAUUAGUUUAAAUUAAUUUUAGUUUAAUUAAUCACACUGACACGCGGGACCCACUGUGAGGUUUGACCCGGACGUGUCCCGUUGACCUGCUGAUGUCACACUGACGUCAGGUUGACGCAAUAAAUUAAUUUCUGGAUUUAAUCUAGUAUAGGAAAUUCCAGAAUAUAGUUUAAACUUCAAAAAUUCAUAACUUUUAUUCUGUAACUCCAAAUCAGACAAAUUAUAUAUGAAAAAUGAUCAGAAAAAUCCAAUCUAUCCAUCUGUACUAUUUUCAUGCAUGAUUAAACAAGUUAACUUGAUGUUUAAUGCAGAACAAGGAAAAACACUUUAAAGGGCCAUGUUUGAGUUUGAAAUUUGAAUCUUUGAUUCAAAUUGGUUCAAACCCUUCUGGUCUUAGUUGCAUUAGCCCAACACACUCAUAUUGCCAUGUUUCAUGCAUGCAUCAUAUUGUUGCACAUUGUUUGGUGAUGGUUGUGUAUCGGUGUUCUUUGCGGCAGGUUCUGCCUCCGAGGAGUACCGUGAUUACUCUAACGAAGAACCGUAUCAGUGCAUCGAACCAUCAGGCAAGCAACCAACCAUUUGAUCAUAUCGAUACAAUCCCAUGUUCUCGCUCCUGCUCUCUUUUACUGCAUUAAGACAACGCGUUUCAAACUGCUGUGUGCUACGGUAGUUGAACCCACUUCCUCUGCAUGACCUGUCAUUGCCACAGUAACUAGAUGAAACCCACUAGUAUGUGUAGGAGUUGAUUGAGCCAUAUGUAUGUGUUGUUCCUACCUUGCCAUGCCUGCUAUGCUUAGAGUCGUGUCAGGUCUGGUUCAUCUGGGUGAUGGGCUAGAGUGAAAUGAUUAUGUCGGUAACGAGAGUGGUGUGGUGAACACGAUUUGGUAAAGGUAUCGAUGAAAGGCCAUGUAGGAGUACAUGGUGGGUUGUUUCGUUGAAGCCGACCUUAAGCACUGAGAUCUGUAUGUGUGAUUUAAGAUACAACUACUACCAUGCAUUGGGCCCUGAAAUAUGACCCCGCUCGACUUCCUAUCCACCCUAGUUCUCUGUCCAGGAGUUGCAAGUAGUUUCUGGUGUUUGUAGCCUACUGGAGGCCGUGGACAGCGCUGACCGUAGGGGUGGGCUGUGAUGCGGUAGGUACGUGGCACGGUGUACCGAAUACCCGUUAGGUAUCUCGGGAACCCUGUUCACAUCGUUUGGGGCUGUGAGCGAAACCUCGGCCGGGUCUCCUCAUGGAUGGAACCCGAAUAGGCGAUAAACCUGGACUAGAGACUUAGGUGUUUAGGUAGGUCGUGGUCUACACCCACGUCGGCUUUCGCUUGAAGUCUGCCGAGCACAUGUCGUGUGCAGACGCUAAGUGGUGGAAACAUGUAUGAAGAAGUACACCCCUGCAGGGUUAACAUGAUCUAUUCGAAUAGCCGCGUCCAUGGUAAAGGACUACUUGGUUGCCUAUACAGUUAAUAGACAAGUAAAUGGAAACUACUAAAAGCCUCAAGAUAAGUGUGAGUGCCGAGGAUGGCUCUUCCGUAGGAAUACGGGGGUGGAUCCUCGGUAGUGUAUUGAAGUGGUGAGUAGUGGACUCGUGUACGCAAAACCAUUUCAAAUUGGAGUCUCGUAGGAUAGCCUAGCCAAGAGUCAAAGCUGGCUUGCUGCAACAACUCCACCAACCCUUCUUGAUAAUGUGCAUGUAUGUAGGAUCUUAUGUAAGUCUUGCUGAGUACCUUUGUACUCAUGUUGCUAUAAUCUACAUUUUUACAGAAGACGCUGCCACCCCUUCUGAUGGGUUCUUCGUAGACGUUGACAUCAAUGAGUAGGCUAAGGCCCAGGUGGUGAUCCUGAGCUUGUGAAGGACCACGUAGUAUAGCUAGGUUUUCCAAGCCUCUUUUAUUUUACUAGUUGUCUGUACCCAGACAAGUUACUUCCGCUGCUGGUUUGUAUGACUGUAUGACUUGAAUGCUGGGUCGUGUGACCCGUACCUAUGUGUAUGUUAUGUAUGGCUCUCUGAGACUUAAAUAAAGUACUUGUGUCGUAGAGUCAUGUUGUGAGGCCAUGUUGUAUUUGCACAUAUCGAGCAUACUGUGUGUAUGUUAUUGAAAUGCUUGGUAUGUGUGGGAUCUGACUAUCUAGUUGUUUAUCUUUAGUAGCCUCUCUUACCGGGAAAUGUCUCCUAGUGUUACCGCUGAGCCAUGGUAGCUUGCUACUGCUCUGGAACACUUAGGCUGGCCGGCAUUUGUCCUUCUUCGUUCCGGUGUCUGUCCCUUCGGGGAAAUGUCACGCAUUGAGUACCGGAGUCCUGUUAGCCCGCUACAGCCCGAUUUACCGGAGUCCUGCUAGCCCAGUGCUACAGCCCGGACCCACUUGCUGAUGACCGACACGUUCGUUGCUGGGUCAUGGAUGCCUGUCCCUGUAAGUCUGUGCCACUUUGGGUUUACGACUAGCCAUGUCAGCCCGGGCUCCUUAUCAUAUGGGUGCUAGCGACACUAUCAUAUACGUGUGCCAAAAGGCGCAAACGGUCCCGGGCAAAGGUAAGGCGACACCCGUGGGAAUACCGUGCGUGAGGCCGCAAAGUGAUAUGAGGUGUUACAUGCUAGACCUAUGUGGCAUCGAGUCGGGGUCCUGACAUCCGACCCCUCAAACGUCCGCAGACGCGCCUGGGCACGUCCACGAACAGUGGCUAGUCACGUCUCAAAUAUUUGAUUCGACAAUCGGAUACCUCAAAUUAGAAAUCUCAAAUCCAUAUUAUUAAAUGCAACAUAAAUCGAUCUUUAAGCGGAGCUCAUCCGGCUCCGCCAUGCCCACAUCUGGCGGCCGACUGCGCUCCACAUAGUGUUGGUCCGGUCGUCUGCAAGGUAGAUUAACGCAUGGGACACGAGCCGGCUCACGGGACUCAAGGCUCCGCCGUCUCCCAUGUCCUACUCUUCCUUGCCAGAUAGAUGGUGGGUCCGUCCUGGGAUGAGCCGGCGACAUCCACCAUGAGGCUGUUGCGGCGCCCGGAGUGGUGCGCCAUAUAGGGUGUCGAAGAAUGUGACUCCGCCUCACCAACGUCCACCGCCGCGAGGGCUACCAAUGCCUCCCGUGCCCGCUGCCUCACACGAUGGGCACGUUGCACUAUGUUUGCGUCGGACGACGCCCAUGGUGCGUCCAUGGCCUCGGCACACCAACAGAGGGGUUGUGCAUCCGCCAGCGCGUUCGGACGCCAGCCAGACUGCACCGCCUUCGGUGAGGCGGCGAUGGCACACCAAGUGCUGGAUCCAUGCGCCAUACGGGCGGACGCAAUGGAUUCCCCAUAGAAGGAGUUUUAACGCUGUCGUCAAGCGGCCUCCUCCCGUGAGCGGCGGAGCGCAAGCCGGACGACCAUCUCUUCCUUGGGGCCACGUGGGAUGAGCUCGAAAUCGACGGAUCUAGAAGCCUAGGACUCGGAUUCACUGCCCGCCAUGCCGGAGAAGGACGGAGAUUGCCGAAUAAGAGCUUGGGUGGCAGAAGGGAGUAAAAUGAAAUGGCUAGGGUUUGAUCCGUCGAACGGAUGGGGAGGAAUAUAUGUGGGGUCGAGUGGGUCAACGUGGGCCGGGUCCGACGUGGCGGACGCGCCCGGGCGUGUAGCGACCCGACCUCAGACGGUCAAGUCUCUAUGCUUAAGUGUCAUCCCUAGAUCGGUAUGCUGACACACACAAUACUCGAGGAUUUAUAACAGAGGUAAAUCACAUGCAUAAAGUAACGUAAAUACUAUUAGCUCAGUCCAAAUAGCGGAAGUAACAACAAGGUUGUGGAUUCCCAUCAACACCAACGGCAAAGUUGAGUGUAGAAAUUGUAACCCUAACGUAUCACUUACUCGUCGUAAGAUCCUGCAACAUGAUGUUGGGGAACAUAGUAAUUUCAAAAAUUUCCCUACGCACACGUAAGAUCAUGGUGAUGCAUAGCAACGAGAGGGGAGAGUGUUGUCCACGUACCCUCAUAGACCGAAAGCGGAAGUGUUAUGACAACGCGGUUGAUGUAGUCGUACGCCUUCACGGCCCGACCGAUCAAGCACCGAAACUACGGCACCUCCGAGUUCUAGCACACGUUCAGCUCGAUGACGAUCCCCGGACUCUGAUCCAGCAGAAUGUCGGGGAAGAGUUCCGUCAGCACGACGGCGUGGUGACGAUCCUGAUGUUCUACUGUCUCAGGGCUUCGCCUAAGCACCGCUACAAUAUUAUUGAGGAUUAUGGUGGAAGGGGGCACCGCACACGGCUAAGAGAUCAAUGAUCAAUUGUUGUAACACCCUCGAUGCGACUAUAGCUCCCACAUGUCGAGGCAUGACUUAGAGACAUAAUCGCAUUGAAGGCAUAUGUCGCAAGUUAGGCAAUCUUCACAACAUCCCAUGUAAUAUAAUAAUAAAAAGGGAGAUAACAUAGUUGGCUUACACUCGCCACGUCAAUCAAGUACAGAAAUAACAUUACAUCAUUCAAACACUCAUGGCCCGACUACGGCGCCAAAAUAAAGAGAACCCAACAUGCGACAACGGUCCCAAUCACCCCCAACUGGGCACCACUACUGAUCAUCGGGAAAGGAAACAUAGUAUCGUUGAGAGUCUUCGUCGAACUCCCACUUGAGCUCGUACGCGUCUCCUGGAGCGGAAUCAUCAGGCCCUGCAUAUGGUGUAAUAGUAAUCUGUGAGCCACAGGAACUCAGCAAUCUCGCACCCUCGCGAUCAAGACUAUUUAAGCUUAUAGGUAAGGCAAGAUAAAUAUAUGGAGCUGCAGCAAGCGACUAGCAAGUAUGGUGGCUAACUUAUUCACAAAAGAGAGCGAGAAGAGGAGGCAAAGCACGAGCGAGAUACUAGAGAGUAAACUGCGCAAACAUUACUCCAACACCGUGUCCACUUCCCGGACUCCUUCGAGAAGAGGCCAUCACGGUAACACACCCGGUUGAUUCAUUUUAAUUUAAUUAAGGUUCAAGUUAUCUACAAUCGGACAUUAACAAAUUCCCAUCUGCCCAUAACCGCGGCACGGCUUUCGAAAGAUCAAUCCCUGCAGGGGAGUCCCAACUUAGCCCAUGACAAGCUCUCACGGUCAACGAAGGAAUGGACCUCCUCCCAACACGUUCCGAUCAGACUCGGUAUCUCGGUAAUUCAAGACACUUCGACAGGUUAAAACAAAUCCAGCAACACCGCCCGAAUGUGCCGACAAAUCCCGAUAGGAGCUGCACAUAUCUCUUUCUCAGGGCACACUCAGAUGAGCACUACGUACAACUAAAACCAACCCUCAAGUUGCCCCGAGGUGGCGCUGCAAGUGGCUCUAUUUGGACCAACACUCAGAGGAGCACUGGCCCGGGGGGGUUUAAAAAUAAGAUGACCCUCAGGCUCCGGCAACCCAAGGGGAAAAAGAGGCUAGGUGGCGAAUGGUAAAACCAAGGUUGGGCAUUGCUGGAAAAGCUUUAAUCAAGGCGAACUAUCAAGGGGUUCCCAUUAUAACCCAACCGCGUAAGGAACACAAAAAUCCGGGAACAUAACACCGAUAUGACAGAAACUAGGGCGGCAAGAGUGGAACAAAACACUAGGCGAGAGGCCGAGCCUUCCACCCUUUACCAAGUAUAUAGAUGCAUUAAGAUAACAAGGCAAUAUAAUGAUAUCCCAACAAGUAAAUAAAAGUAAUUCCAACAAGGAACGGCCUCCAAUCUUCACCUGCAACUAGCAACGCUAUAAGAGGGGCUGAGCAAAGCGGUAACAUAGCCAAUCAACGGUUUGCUAGGACAAUGGUGGGUUAGAGGUUUGACAUGGCAAUUUGGGAGGCUUGCAAGCAAGUGGUAGGCAUCGUAGCAAUGGCAUAGCAAAAGAGCGAGCAAACUAGCAUAGCAAAGAUAGUAGUGAUUUCGAGGGUAUGAUCAUAUUGCCUGCACGGUUGUCAGAGUUGACUGGAUCCUCAAAAGCAAACUCAACGGGCUCCUCGUUAGCGAACUCGUCUCCCGGCUCUACCCAAACAAGACAAACAAGCAACAAGGAUACAAUCAACCACGUGCAAGAACAAGCAAUAAGAUGAAAUGAUGACAUGCUAUGCGGAAUGCGAUGCGGGAUGCAAAAUGCAAGAUAUGACAGGAAAUGCAUGAACCUGGCCUCAACUUGGAAAUCCAAGUGUGCCACUGGAAAUAUGAGAUGAAAUCGCUUGAAAACGAUAUAAAGAACGCCGGAAUCGGAGUUACGGUUUGGAAAUGGCAAGCGAUUCAAAAAUGACACCGGUCUGCGAUUUACAGCAAGUAGGCAUCUAAAUGCAAUGAGAUGAACAUGCUACAGUACCCAAACAUGACAACAAAAUACAUGGCAGGGAUGCACACAAUAUGCUUAACAAAAGUCUAGUACUGAGCUACGGCCAAUUCAUCCAUUAGGAGGUCCAAACAAGCAUGGCAAAAACGCAAAUGGUAAAAUAGAUCUCAGACUUAGUGAAAUUAACACUUGUCUGGAAUUUCAGAUCAUAUAGCCCUCUUCGGAGCAACAAAACAACAUGCUACAGGACCUGAACAUGACAAAGAAAGACAUGGCAUGGAGCUAAUCAACAAGCUUAACAAAAGUCACUUAGUGAGCUUGAGCCAAAAGGGAUCACAAAAUAUACUAACAAGCACACGAACAUAGCAAAAACAUAAUCAGUUUUCAGACUUAGUGAAAACUGGGACAUGCUGAAACAUAUCUCACGAAGGCAUGUUUACGAGCUCGAUGCACUCACCACGGUGCAAGUCACAGCAAGACAAGCAUACAUCCCUUAAGAAGGCACAAAUGCAAGCUAGACAUGGCAAGAACAAUGGCAUAGCAUGCACGGAUCAACUACAAUGACAUCGGCAAAAUCGCAAACAAGUUGACGAUCUGCCCAGAUUCGCAACGAAGCAAAAGUAGAGCUCGAUUGACUCAAGCUAUGGUGCUCCAUAAUUGCAAAAAAAGACAUGGAUGGAUAGAGCACUACAAUAUUAACAAAACUCCCUUAUUGAUCAUCCUCAAAAGAGGCACGAAUCGCUAGGAAACAACAUGAACAUGUGGCAUCGUGAACUAAACAAUCCCAGGACUUAGUGAAAUUACUAAGUCCCUGAAAACAGAAUUAGCAAGUGCACCACUUUGCAAGCUUGCACAAGUCACCACACACAUCCUAAAAAUAUAUGGGUUGCACCUCUGAAAAGAUGACAAAACCCCUAACAAAACACAUGUAGAACUCACGGGCAUAGCAUGCACACAAUAAUCAUGGCAAAAACGACAAAAGUGCUAAACGGUGUAACAGAUCUGACAAUUAACUCAAGUAGCCCUUUUCUAACCGUAUUUCGGGAUCAAGAUGAGCUCAAAUGAAAAUGAUGCAAUGGAAUGAAAUGAUGUACUCUCUGAGAUGAACAUUUUGAUAUGCUAUAUGCCCAAAUCGGAGCUACGGAUGCAAAGUUACGAGGCCGUGAAAUAUCCGGAACUUGGUGAAAAACACUACCCCUAGGGUUUACUGUAGCAACCCCGAUCCAGAUCGGAUCUCGCGGCACAGUAGCUGGCCGGACCCGAGUUCGCCGGAGCCGGCGUGGAGGAGGGAGGAGGCGGCCGGCGAGGGCGCGGUCGCCAAUGGCCGAGGCGGCGGCGGCGGCCGGAGCUGGGGCGACUCCGGCGAGCUCCUACGGCGGCCCGGGCGGCGACCCCNNNNNNNNNNNNNNNNNNNNNNNNNNNNNNNNNNNNNNNNNNNNNNNNNNNNNNNNNNNNNNNNNNNNNNNNNNNNNNNNNNNNNNNNNNNNNNNNNNNNNNNNNNNNNNNNNNNNNNNNNNNNNNNNNNNNNNNNNNNNNNNNNNNNNNNNNNNNNNNNNNNNNNNNNNNNNNNNNNNNNNNNNNNNNNNNNNNNNNNNNNNNNNNNNNNNNNNNNNNNNNNNNNNNNNNNNNNNNNNNNNNNNNNNNNNNNNNNNNNNNNNNNNNNNNNNNNNNNNNNNNNNNNNNNNNNNNNNNNNNNNNNNNNNNNNNNNNNNNNNNNNNNNNNNNNNNNNNNNNNNNNNNNNNNNNNNNNNNNNNNNNNNNNNNNNNNNNNNNNNNNNNNNNNNNNNNNNNNNNNNNNNNNNNNNNNNNNNNNNNNNNNNNNNNNNNNNNNNNNNNNNNNNNNNNNNNNNNNNNNNNNNNNNNNNNNNNNNNNNNNNNNNNNNNNNNNNNNNNNNNNNGUCGACGCGCGGGUGGCUGAAGGCGGCGGGCGGAUGCUGUCCGGCCCCAUCCGGACACGUCCGGCGACGGCGGCGGAUGGAUCUAGGGUUUAGGGGGGGAGGGGAGACCCAUGAAUUUCGGAGGGGGGUGUAUAUAUAGGCAUAGAGGGAGCUAGCGGAGUCCAAAUGAGGUGCGGUUUUUGGCCACGCGAUCGUGAUUGAAUGCUCUAGGACAUGGAGCAGAGUUUGGUGGGUUUUGGACCAAAUUGGAGGGGUGUUGGCUGCAACACACACGAGGCCUUUUCGGUCCCUCGGUUAACCGUUGGAGUAUCAAACGACGUCCAAAUGGUACGAAACUUGACAGGCGGUCUACCGGUAGUAAACCAAGGCCGCUUGGAAAAUCUUGGUCCAAUCCGGAAAUGUUUAAUCCCCACACACGAAACAAAGCUAGAAAUGACCACCGAGGGAGAACGAAGCGUCGGAAUGCAAAGUGGACAAUAGGGAAAAUGCUCGAAUGCAUCAGACGAACACGUAUGCAAAUGCAAUGCACAUGAUGACAUGAUAUGAGAUGCAUGACAAAGACAACAACACACGGAGACAAAGACCCGAACCCGAGGAAAUAAAUAUAACUUAACGCCGGAAACAGCAAGAGUUAGAGUACAAAUAGGGAAAGUUACAUCCGGGGUGUUACAACACUCCACCACUACGAAAGGAUCUCGUCCCAAGAUCUAGGACUGAAAGAACGCCGGGUACUCAGAACGGAGGUGAUCCUCGCGUUCCCAGGUAGCUUCACGGUCAGAAUGGUGUGACCACUUGACUUUGAGAAAUUUGAUUGACUUGUUGCGAGUCUUGCGUUCAGUCUCUUCAAGAAUAGCAACUGGGUGCUCACGAUAAGAGAGAUCUUCUUGGAUCUCAAUGUCCUCGAAGUUGAUGGUGCGGUUAGGAGUCUUGAAGCACUUUCGAAGCUGAGAGACAUGGAACAUGUCAUGAACAUUUGCAAAGUUUGAAGGAAGCUCGAGUUGAUAGGCGAGGUCGCCUCUCUUGCUAACAAUCUUGAAAGGUCCCACGUAUCUAGGGGCAAGCUUCCUUUUGAUACCGAAGCGACGAGUACCUUUCAUAGGAGAGACACGGAGGUAAACAUGAUCUCCGAUCUCGAAAGCCAAAUCGCGGUGCUUACUAUCAUAGUAGCUCUUCUGGCGGGAUUGGGCUGCUUUGAGGUUAUCACGAAUGACUUUGCACAUUUCUUCUGCCUCUGUGAUUAAGUCAUUACCCAAAAGCUGACGUUCACCGGUUUCAGACCAGUUGAGAGGGGUACGGCACUUCCUGCCAUACAGAAUUUCAAAAGGGGCCUUGCCCGAACUUGCUUGAAAACUGUUGUUGUAGGAGAAUUCAGCAUAAGGAAGACAAUCCUCCCACUUCAUGCCGAAGGAUAUCACACAAGCCCUGAGCAUAUCUUCAAGAAUCUGGUUGACACGCUCGACUUGAUCGCUUGUUUGAGGAUGGAAAGCUGUGCUGAAGCGGAUGUUGCUGCCCAUGGCCUUCUGGAAAGAAUCCCAAAACUUCAAGGUAAAGAUGCUGCCAUGGUCUGAAGAGAUCACUUGAGGAAUACCGUGCAGAGAGACAAUACGCGAGGUAUAGAGUUCUGCCAAUUGAGCUGCAGUGAUCGACUCUUUGAUAGGCAGAAAGUGAGCCACUUUGGUGAGUUUGUCGAUGACAACGAAUAUAGCAUCAUUGCCACGCUUGGACUUAGGAAACCCAGUCACGAAGUCCAUUUCAAUGUGGUCAAACUUCCAUUCUGGAAUGGCAAGAGGUUGGAGGAGACCAGCUGGCCUUUGGUGUUCUGCCUUCACUCUUCUGCAGACAUCACAUUCAUUCACGAAUUGAGCAAUCUCGCGCUUCAUUCGAGUCCACCAAUAAGCUUGCUUAAGGUCCUGAUACAUCUUCUUGCUCCCAGGGUGGAUGGAGAGGAGAGAAUUGUGAGCCUCGUUCAUGAUCACUUUAUGGAGGUCACCUUUGGGUACAACAAUACGAUCUUCGAAGAAAAGAGUGUCCUUGUCAUCAAGGCGGUAGCACUUGUACUUGGACUGACUCCUGGCAAUCCCAAUCUUCAACUUUUUCACCAUAGCAUCAAGAAGCUGGGCUUGGCGAAUCUGGUCUUCUAAGGUAGGAGAGAAUUGAAGGUUGGCGAGGAAACCUUGAGGAACAACUUGCAGAUUAAGUUUGCGGAAAGCUUCACAAAGCUCGGGUUGAUAAGGCUUGAGAAUCAGACUGUUGCAGUAGGCCUUUCUGCUCAAAGCGUCAGCAAUCACAUUGGCAUUGCCUGGAGUAUACUCGAUACUCAGAUUAUACUCUUGAAUCAUUUCGACCCAUCGAGUUUGCCUGAGGUUGAGAUUAGGCUGAGUGAAGAUGUACUUGAGACUCUUGUGAUCAGUGAAAAUGUCCACUUUUCUUCCCAAUAGAAGAUGUCUCCAAGUCAAAAGAGCAUGCAUAACUGCCGCCAACUCGAGAUCAUCAGUGGGGUAGUUCUUCUCAUUAGGCUUCAACUGGCGAGAUGUAUAAGCAACAACUUUCUUCUCUUGCAUCAAUACUGCGCCAAGACCUUGGAGAGAGGCAUCACAAAAGACCUCGUACGGCUUGGAUUCAUCAGGUGGAGUCAGAACUGGAGCAGUGAUCAAUUUCUCUUUCAAAGUGUUGAAAGCAAUAUCACAUUCUAGAGACCAAACGUACUUGAUGUGCUUCUGAAGAAGAUUAGAGAGAGGCUUCGCGAACUUAGAAAAGUUUUCAACGAAUCUUCGGCAAUAGCUUGCGAGACCGAGAAAACUGCGGAGUUGCUUCACGUUCUGAGGAGGUUCCCAAUUCACAAUUGCAGACACCUUCUCAGGAUUCACGGCAAUGCCCUUGGCAGAGAUGAUAUGACCAAGAUAAAGAACCUCAUCGAGCCAAAAUUCACACUUGGAGAACUUAGCGUAGAACUGAUGUUCUCUGAGCUUAUCAAGAACCAAACGCAAAUGCUUGGCAUGAUCUUCCUUGUUCUUCGAGAAAACCAGAAUGUCGUCGAGAUAGACCAAGACGAAGUCAUUGGUGUAGGCGUUGAACAUGAAGUUCAUCAUGCAGGAGAACGUCGGGGGAGCAUUGGCGAGGCCAAAAGACAUGACAGUGUAUUCAUAUGAACCAAAGCUUGUUCUGAAUGCUGUCUUGGGAAUAUCUUCUUCACGAAUGCGAAUCUGGUGAUAACCCAUACGGAGAUCAAGCUUGGAGAAUACUUGGUCACCUUUGAGUUGUUCGAACAGCUCAUUGAUGUUGGGAAGUGGAUAUUUGUUCUUGAUGGUCUUCUUGUUCACUGGACGGUAAUCAACACAAAGUCGGUCCGUUCCAUCCUUCUUCUUCACAAAAAGAACACCACAACCCCACGGAGAAGAACUAGGCCGGAUGAGACCCAUUUUCUCUUGCAUAUCGAGUUGCUUCUUCAGCUCCUUCAACUCUUCAGGUCCGAGCUUGUAAGGACGCUUGCACACAGGUUCCGUGCCACGCUCAAGAUCAAUAACAAAUUCAACUGGCCGGUGUGGAGGCAUUCCUGGAAGCUCUUCUGGAAAGACGUCUUGAUAUUCGCAAACGAUUGGAAUUUGAGAGAUAGCAUCCAAUUCACCCUUCUCAUUGAGAGAAAACAGACGGAUAGUAUCAUCACGAGCGGCAAAGACAAUUACAUCCUCAGACAAAUGAGUCAAUUGAAUCUUCCUGGCUGCACAAUCAAGAUGUGCCUUGUGCUUAGAAAGCCAAUCCAUUCCGAGAAUAAGAUCAAUAUCCGAGUUACCAAAAACCACCGGAGAAGAGAGAAACUUGUAAUCGCCCAACAUGAUAGAGACAUCCGGGACGCAAUUGUUAGAAGUCAUUUGCUUGCCCGAAGACACAAUCUUCAAUGGAACAGGAAUCCUUUCGGUCACAAAAUCAUGCUUGGCCACAAAUGGAGUUGAAAUAAAAGAAAGCGAUGCACCAGUGUCAAAAAGAACUUUUGCAGGAACAUCGUUAACAGGAAGGUUACCCAUGAUCACAUCUGGUGAGUCCUCUGCCUGAGCUGCAUUCAGCAAAUUGACCUUGGCGUGCUUGGGGUUAUGCUUGACCACAACUGUACUUGCCGAUCUGACAGGAGGAGGAGGAAGACGCCUCUGGUUGAAACACUCAUUGGCAUAGUGACCCUUCUGUUGGCACUUGUUGCACAUGACCUCUGAAAGCGGACGGUGAUACGGAGCACUCGAUCUUGGAGCUUGAGACGAAGUCUUGUUCUGAAAGCCAGGGUUGGGUGGGUGGGAAGAACCACUGCCACCUUUGCUCUUCUGCUGAUACGGCUGCCAGAACGGAAGAGGAGGAAGCCAAAACUUCUGCUGCUUGGCCACUUGAGUAGAGGAAGAAGGAGUAACAUCUCUGACUCGCUUCUUGGAAGCAUCACACCUCAACUGAGCAACCUCUUGCUUCAGUGCCAUGUUGUAGAACUCAUCGUAUCUCAAGGGCUCAAAGAGGACAAGAGCGAGCUGAAUUUCUUCUCUGAGACCACCCCUGAACUGAUAUAUCAUGCUCUUCCCAUCAGGGACGUCCUGCUUAGCAAAGCGGGCGAGCUUCUGGAAGAACUUGUUGUAGUCAUAGACAGACAAAGAGCCUUGCUUCAGAUUGCGGAAUUCCUCACGCUUGCUUUUAACCACGCUCUACGGAAUAUGAUGAGCUCGGAAAUCUCGACGGAAAUCAUCCCAAGUGAUAACACGUCCACCUCUGGAAUCCUUGUACUGCUGGAACCAUUCUGCAGCUUGAUCUUUGAGUUGGAAGGAAGCGAACUUAACAAAGUCCUCAGGCCUGACGUUACUACACUCGAAAUGCUUGCACAGAUCCACAAGCCAAUCAUCAGCAUCGGUUGCCUCAACACAAUUGCUGAAAGUCUUUGGCCCACUAGCAAGGAACUGGUUGAGUGUAGCAAAGUGAGUCUGAUUGCUGCCUUGAUUCCCUCGACUACCUUGAUUGCGCUCUUGAAGAAUUUGCAUGAUCAACUGUGUAUUUGCAUUGGUUGUGGCCAUCACAGCUUGCCAUGCCUCUGGAGGAGGUGGAGGUGGUGGCGGAUCAGGAUUCAGAGUCGUGCGCGUUGGAGGAGCCAUCCUGAAGAGGUUGACCACCAUUAGCACAUUGACAGAUAAAUAUUGAAGCUGAAUCCAACGGAAUGAAAAUUGCAACAUAUAGUCUUCACAUCUGAACAAAAUGAACGAAUGCAUUCCUCUUGAAAUGGUCACAUAUCCAUAAAUUGAGAAGCCACGUAGAAUUAAGGUAGAGAAAUAAAUCAACAAGGUACGGAUCAAGAACGAAUAAUCGGUAAGAAAUCCCAAUCUCAAACCAAUAUCCGUGGAAGAAAAACUAGAGCUACUAGAAUUCCCACCUAUGAAACUUCCGAACCUUUCCGGUUAUGCAAUCAGGUGUUGGGGAUACAGGGGAAUCAUAAUAUCUCACCCAAACUAGCAAAUCCUACAUCCAGCUGUAUCCAUCCUUCAACACAUAACCAAGAAACCUUCGGAAACCAUCUACCUCAACCUUCGAAAAGCAUACAUUAUACAUGUUAUGGGGAUACUCCCAAACUCCCGCCCAGUACUGGGUGGAGUCGAGGUUAUCUCACCAAUGAACUGCAUAAAAGAGAUUUUUGAUGUCGGCGUACUAGACUCAGGUAUUCCAGAACUGUAACGAUAAAAUUAUGAUGACAACACCUCAGAGCUCAACUCCCCGGGACACUUCCACUAAACCCCUGACAGGAGGCACCAAGACAAUGUUCUCAUCAUAAAACCAUCGGAAUGAUUCCAAGAUACCCGCGUGAUCCUAAAUUUUUUUUAGUGAAAUUUGAGAAGAGAAGAGUCAAAACUCUACGUCAGGAAGCCUUACCAGAGCGAUGAGGAGACUGGGAAGUAAAAAGAAUUCCUAAUCUCUCCGAUAUAUAAUUCCUAAAAGACUCAAAACAUUUUUCUAGAUACAACUCGGCCGCUAAAAACGAUCAAGCAAUGGGGCUCCUAAAGUCGGGGAAGGAUCUGAUUACGAACUUGUAACACCCUCGAUGCGACUAUAGCUCCCACGUGUCGAGGCAUGACUUAGAGACAUAAUCGCAUUGAAGGCAUAUGUCGCAAGUUAGGCAAUCUUCACAACAUCCCAUGUAAUAUAAUAAUAAAAAGGGAGAUAACAUAGUUGGCUGACACUCGCCACGUCAAUCAAGUACAGAAAUAACAUUACAUCAUUCAAACACUCAUGGCCCGACUACGGCGCCAAAAUAAAGAGAACCCAACAUGCGACAACGGUCCCAAUCACCCCCAACUGGGCACCACUACUGAUCAUCGGGAAAGGAAGCAUAGUAUCGUUGAGAGUCUUCGUCGAACUCCCACUUGAGCUCGUACGCGUCUCCUGGAGCGGAAUCAUCAGGCCCUGCAUCUGGUGUAAUAGUAAUCUGUGAGCCACAGGGACUCAACAAUCUUGCACCCUCGCGAUCAAGACUAUUUAAGCUUAUAGGUAAGGCAAGAUAAAUAUAUGGAGAUGCAGCAAGCGACUAGCAAGUAUGGUGGCUAACUUAUUCGCAAAAGAGAGCGAGAAGAGGAGGCAAAGCACGAGCGAGAUACUAGAGAGUAACAUGCGCAAACAUUACUCCAACACCGUGUCCACUUCCUGGACUCCACCGAGAAGAGGCCAUCACGGUAAUACACUCGGUUGAUUCAUUUUAAUUUAAUUAAGGUUCAAGUUAUCUACAACCGGACAUUAACAAAUUCUCAUCUGCCCAUAACCGCGGGCACGGCUUUCGAAAGAUCAAUCCCUGCAGGGGAGUCCCAACUUAGCCCAUGACAAGCUCUCACGGUCAACGAAGGAAUGGACCUCCUCCCAAGACGUUCCGAUCAGACUCGGUAUCUCGGUAAUUCAAGACACUUCAACAGGUUAAAACAAAUCCAGCAACACCGCCCGAAUGUGCCGACAAAUCCCGAUAGGAGCUGCACAUAUCUCUUUCUCAGGGAACACUCAGAUGAACACUACGUACAACUAAAACCAACCCUCAAGUUGCCCCGAGGUGGCNNNNNNNNNNNNNNNNNNNNNNNNNNNNNNNNNNNNNNNNNNNNNNNNNNNNNNNNNNNNNNNNNNNNNNNNNNNNNNNNNNNNNNNNNNNNNNNNNNNNNNNNNNNNNNNNNNNNNNNNNNNNNNNNNNNNNNNNNNNNNNNNNNNNNNNNNNNNNNNNNNNNNNNNNNNNNNNNNNNNNNNNNNNNNNNNNNNNNNNNNNNNNNNNNNNNNNNNNNNNNNNNNNNNNNNNNNNCCCAAGGGAAAAAAGAGGCUAGGUGGAGAAUGGUAAAACCAAGGUUAGGCAUUGCUGGAAAAGCUUUAAUCAAGGCGAACUAUCAAGGGGUUCCCAUUAUAACCCAACCGCGUAAGGAACGCAAAAAUCCGAGAACAUAACACUGAUAUGACCGAAACUAGGGCGGCAAGAGUGGAACAAAACACUAGGCGAGAGGCCGAGCCUUCCACCCUUUACCAAGUAUACAGAUGCAUUAAGAUAACAAGGCAAUAUAAUGAUAUCCCAACAAGUAAAUAAAAGAUGUUCCAACAAGGAACGACCUCCAAUCUUCACCUGCAACUAGCAACGCUAUAAGAGGGGCUGAGCAAAGCGGUAACAUAGCCAAUCAACGGUUUGCUAGGACAAUGGUGGGUUAGAGGUUUGACAUGGCAAUUUGGGAGGCUUGCAAGCAAGUGGUAGGCAUCGUAGCAAUGGCAUAGCAAAAGAGCGAGCAAACUAGCAUAGCAAAGAUAGUAGUGAUUUCGAGGGUAUGAUCAUCUUGCCUGCAUGGUUGUCAGAGUUGACUGGAUCCUCAAAAGCAAACUCAAUGGGCUCCUCGUUAGCGAACUCGUCUCCCGGCUCUACCCAAACAAGACAAACAAGCAACAAGGAUACAAUCAACCACGUGCAAGAACAAGCAAUAAGAUGAAAUGAUGACAUGCUAUGCGGGAUGCGAUGCGGGAUGUAAAAUGCAAGAUAUGACAGGAAAUGCAUGAACCUGGCCUCAACUUGGAAAUCCAAGUGUGCCACUGGAAAUAUGAGAUGAAAUCGCUUGAAAACGAUAUAAAGAACGCCGGAAUCGGAGUUACGGCUUGGAAAUGGCAAGCGAUUCAAAAAUGACACCGGUCUGCGAUUUACAGGUAGUAGGCAUCUAAAUGCAAUGAGAUGAACAUGCUACAGUACCCAAACAUGACAACAAAAUACAUGGAAGCGAUGCACACAAGAUGCUUAACAAAAGUCUAGCACUGAGCUACGGCCAAUUCAUCCAUCAGGAGGUUAAAACAAGCAUGGAAAAAACUCAAAUGGUAAAACAGAUCUCAGACUUAGUGAAAUUAACACUUGUCUGGAAUUUCAGAUCAUAUAGCCCUCUUCGGAGCAACAAAACAACAUGCUACAGGACCUGAACAUGACAAAGAAAGACAUGGCAUGGAGCUAAUGAACAAGCUUAACAAAAGUCACUUAGUGAGCUUGAGCCAAAAGGGAUCACAAAAUAUACUAACAAGCACACGAACAUAGCAAAAACAUAAUCAGUUUUCAGACUUAGUGAAAACAGGGACAUGCUGAAACAUAUCUCACGAAGGCAUGUUUACGAGCUCGAUGCACUCACCACGGUGCAAGUCACGGCAAGACAAGCAUACAUCCCUUAAGAAGGCACAAAAUGCAAGCUAGACAUGGCAAGAACAAUGGCAUAGCAUGCACGGAUCAACUACAAUGACAUCGGCAAAAUCGCAAACAAGUUGACGAUCUGUCCAGAUUCGCAACGAAGCAAAAGUAGAGCUCGAUUAACUCAAGCUAGGGUGCUCCAUAAUUGCAAACAAAGACAUGGAUGGAUAGAGCACUACAAUAUUAACAAAACUCCCUUAGUGAUCAUCCUCAAAAGAGGCACGGAUCGCUAGGAAACAACAUGAACAUGUGGCAUCAUGAACUAAACAAUCCCAGGACUUAGUGAAAUUACUAAGUCCCUGAAAACAGAAUUAGCAAGUGCACCACUUUGCAAGCUUGCACAAGUCACCACACACAUCCUAAAAAUAUAUGGGUUGCACCUCUGGAAAGAUGACAAAACCCCUAACAAAACACAUGUAGAACUCACGGGCAUAGCAUGCACACAAUAAUCAUGGCAAAAACGACAAAAGUGCUAAACGGAGUAACAGAUCUGACAAUUAACUCAAGUAGCCCUAUUCUAACCUCAUUUCGGGCAUCAAGAUGAGCUGAAAUGAAAAUGAUGCAAUGGAAUGAAAUGAUGUACUCUCUGAGGUGAACAUUUUGAUAUGCUAUAUGCCCAAAUCGGAGCUACGGAUGCAAAGUUACGGGGUCGUGAACAGGGGCAUAUGAACUAAAAAUAUCCGGAACUUGGUGAAAAAAACUACCCCUAGGGUUUACUGUAGCAACCCCGAUCCAGAUCGGAUCUCGCGGCACUGUAGCUGGCCGGACCCGAGUUCGCCGGAGCCGGCGUGGAGGAGGGAGGAGGCGGCCGGCGAGGGCGCGGUCGCCGAUGGCCGAGGCGGCGNNNNNNNNNNNNNNNNNNNNNNNNNNNNNNNNNNNNNNNNNNNNNNNNNNNNNNNNNNNNNNNNNNNNNNNNNNNNNNNNNNNNNNNNNNNNNNNNNNNNNNNNNNNNNNNNNNNNNNNNNNNNNNNNNNNNNNNNNNNNNNNNNNNNNNNNNNNNNNNNNNNNNNNNNNNNNNNNNNNNNNNNNNNNNNNNNNNNNNNNNNNNNNNNNNNNNNNNNNNNNNNNNNNNNNNNNNNNNNNNNNNNNNNNNNNNNNNNNNNNNNNNNNNNNNNNNNNNNNNNNNNNNNNNNNNNNNNNNNNNNNNNNNNNNNNNNNNNNNNNNNNNNNNNNNNNNNNNNNNNNNNNNNNNNNNNNNNNNNNNNNNNNNNNNNNNNNNNNNNNNNNNNNNNNNNNNNNNNNNNNNNNNNNNNNNNNNNNNNNNNNNNNNNNNNNNNNNNNNNNNNNNNNNNNNNNNNNNNNNNNNNNNNNNNNNNNNNNNNNNNNNNNNNNNNNNNNNNNNNNGGGCGAGCCGGCAGCGGUGGGAGGUGGCGGCCGCCACAUGUCGAUGCGCGGGUGGCUGGAGGCGGCGGGCGGACGCUGUCCGGCCCCGUCCGGACACGUCCGGCGACGGCGGCGGAUGGAUCUAGGGUUUAGGGGGGAGGGGAGACCCAUGAAUUUCGGAGGGGGGUGUAUAUAUAGGCAUAGAGGGAGCUAGAAGAGUCCAAAUGAGGUGCGGUUUUUGGCCACGCGAUCGUGAUUGAACGCUCUAGGACAUGGAGCAGAGUUUGGUGGGUUUUGGACCAAAUUGGAGGGGUGUUGGCUGCAACACACACGAGGCCUUUUCGGUCCCUCGGUUAACCGUUGGAGUAUCAAACGACGUCCAAAUGGUACGAAACUUGACAGGCGGUCUACCGGUAGUAAACCAAGGCCGCUUGGCAAAUCUCGGUCCAAUCCGGAAAUGUUUAAUCCCCACACACGAAAGAAAGCUAGAAAUGACCACCGAGGGAGAACGAAGCGCCGGAAUGCAAAAUGGACAACAAGGAAAAUACUCGAAUGCAUGAGACGAACACGUAUGCAAAUGCACUGCACAUGAUGACAUGAUAUGAGAUGCAUGACAAAGACAACAACACACGGAGACAAAGACCCGAACCCGAGGAAAUAAAUAUAACUUAACGCCGGAAACGGCAAGAGUUAGAGUACAAAUAGGGAAAGUUACAUCCGGGGUGUUACAACACGCCACCGCUACGAAAGGAUCUCGUCCCGAGAUCUAGGACUGAAAGAACGCCGGGUACUUAGAACGGAGGUGAUCCUCGCGUUCCCAGGUAGCUUCACGGUCGGAAUGGUGUGACCACUUGACUUUGAGAAAUUUGAUUGACUUGUUGCGAGUCUUGCGUUCAGUCUCUUCAAGAAUAGCAAUUGGGUGCUCACGAUAAGAGAGAUCUUGGAUCUCAUUGUCCUCGAAGUUGACGGUGCGGUUAGGAGUCUUGAAGCACUUUCGAAGCUGAGAGACAUGGAACAUGUCAUGAACAUUUGCAAAGUUUGAAGGAAGCUCGAGUUGAUAGGCGAGGUCACCUCUCUUGCUAACAAUCCUGAAAGGUCCCACGUAUCUAGGGGCAAGCUUCCUUUUGAUACCGAAGCGACGAGUACCUUUCAUAGGAGAGACACGGAGGUAAACAUGAUCUCCGAUCUCGAAAGCCAAAUCACGGUGCUUACUAUCAUAGUAGCUCUUCUGGCGGGAUUGGGCUGCUUUGAGGUUAUCACGAAUGACUUUGCACAUUUCUUCUGCCUCUGUGAUUAAGUCAUUACCCAAAAGCUGACGUUCACCGGUUUCAGACCAGUUGAGAGGGGUACGGCACUUCCUGCCAUACAGAAUUUCAAAAGGGGCCUUGCCCGAACUUGCUUGAAAACUGUUGUUGUAGGAGAAUUCAGCAUAAGGAAGACAAUCCUCCCACUUCAUGCCGAAGGAGAUCACACAAGACCUGAGCAUAUCUUCAAGAAUCUGGUUGACACACUCGACUUGAUCGCUUGUUUGAGGAUGGAAAGCUGUGCUGAAGCGGAUGUUGCUGCCCAUGGCCUUCUGGAAAGAAUCCCAAAACUUCAAGGUAAAGAUGCUGCCACGGUCUGAAGAGAUCACUUGAGGAAUACCGUGCAGAGAGACAAUACGCGAGGUAUAGAGUUCCGCCAAUUGAGCUGCAGUGAUCGACUCUUUGAUAGGCAGAAAGUGAGCCAGUUUGGUGAGUUUGUCGAUGACAACGAAUAUAGCAUCAUUGCCACGCUUGGACUUAGGAAACCCAGUCACGAAGUCCAUUUCAAUGUGGUCAAACUUCCAUUCUGGAAUGGCAAGAGGUUGGAGGAGACCAGCUGGCCUUUGGUGUUCUGCCUUCACUCUUCUGCAGACAUCACAUUCAUUCACGAAUUGAGCGAUCUCGCGCUUCAUUCGAGUCCACCAAUAAGCUUGCUUAAGGUCCUGAUACAUCUUCUUGCUCCCAGGGUGGAUGGAGAGGAGAGAAUUGUGAGCCUCGUUCAUGAUCACUUUAUGGAGGUCACCUUUGGGUACAACAAUACGAUCUUCGAAGAAGAGAGUGUCCUUGUCAUCAAGGCGGUAGCACUUGUACUUGGACUGACUCCUGGCAAUCCCAAUCUUCAACUUUUUCACCAUAGCAUCAAGAAGCUGGGCUUGGCGAAUCUGGUCUUCUAAGGUAGGAGAGAAUUGAAGGUUGGCGAGGAAACCUUGAGGAACAACUUGCAGAUUAAGUUUGCGGAAAGCUUCACAAAGCUCGGGUUGACAAGGCUUGAGAAUCAGACUGUUGCAGUAGGCCUUUCUGCUCAAAGCGUCAGCAAUCACAUUGGCCUUGCCUGGAGUAUACUCGAUACUCGGAUUAUACUCUUGAAUCAUUUCGACCCAUCGAGUUUGCCUAAGGUUGAGAUUAGGCUGAGUGAAGAUGUACUUGAGACUCUUGUGAUCAGUGAAAAUGUCCACUUUUCUUCCCAAUAGAAGAUGUCUCCAAGUCAAAAGAGCAUGCAUAACUGCCGCCAACUCGAGAUCAUGAGUGGGGUAGUUCUUCUCAUUAGGCUUCAACUGGCGAGAUGUAUAAGCAACAACUUUCUUCUCUUGCAUCAAUACUGCGCCAAGACCUUGGAGAGAGGCAUCACAAAAGACCUCGUACGGCUUGGAUUCAUCAGGUGGAGUCAGAAUUGGAGCAGUGAUCAAUUUCUCUUUCAAAGUGUUGAAAGCAAUAUCACACUCUGGAGACCAAAUGUACUUGAUGUGCUUCUGAAGAAGAUUAGAGAGAGGCUUCGCGAUCUUAGAAAAGUUUUCAAUGAAUCUUCGGCAAUAGCUUGCGAGACCGAGAAAACUGCGGAGUUGCUUCACGUUCUGAGGAGGUUCCCAAUUCACAAUUGCAGACACCUUCUCAGGAUUCACGGCAAUGCCCUUGGCAGAGAUGAUAUGACCAAGAUAAAGAACCUCAUCGAGCCAAAAUUCACACUUGGAGAACUUAGCGUAGAACUGAUGUUCUCUGAGCUUAUCAAGAACCAAACGCAAAUGCUUGGCAUGAUCUUCCUUGUUCUUCGAGAAAACCAGAAUGUUGUCGAGAUAGACCAAGACGAAGUCAUUGGUGUAGGCGUUGAAGAUGAAGUUCAUCAUGCAAGAGAAUGUCGGAGGAGCGUUGGCGAGGCCAAAAGACAUGACAGUGUAUUCAUAUGAACCAAAGCUUGUUCUGAAUGCUGUCUUGGGAAUAUCUUCUUCACGAAUGUGAAUCUGGUGAUAACCCAUACGGAGAUCAAGCUUGGAGAAUACUUGGUCACCUUUGAGUUGUUCGAACAGCUCAUUGAUGUUGGGAAGUGGAUAUUUGUUCUUGAUGGUCUUCUUGUUCACUGGACGGUAAUCAACACAAAGUCGGUCCGUUCCAUCCUUCUUCUUCACAAAAAGAACACCACAACCCCACGGAGAAGAACUAGGCCGGAUGAGACCCAUUUUCUCUUGCAUAUCGAGUUGCUUCUUCAGCUCCUUCAACUCUUCAGGUCCGAGCUUGUAAGGUCGCUUGCACACAGGUUCCGUGCCAGGCUCAAGAUCAAUAACGAAUUCAACUGGCCGGUGCGGAGGCAUUCCUGGAAGCUCUUCUGGAAAGACGUCUUGAUAUUCGCAAACGACUGGAAUUUGAGAGAUAGCAUCCAAUUCACCCUUCUCAUUGAGAGAAAACAGACGGAUAGUAUCAUCACGAGCGGCAAAGACAAUUACAUCCUCAGACAAAUGAGUCAAUUGAAUCUGCCUGGCUGCACAAUCAAGAUGCGCCUUGUGCUUAGAAAGCCAAUCCAUUCCGAGAAUAAGAUCAAUAUCCGAGUUACCAAGAACCACCGGAGAAGAGAGAAACUUGUAAUCGCCCAACGUGAUAGAGACAUCCGGGACGCAAUUGUUAGAAGUCAUUUGCUUGCCCGGAGACACAAUCUUCAAUGGAACAGGAAUCCUUUCGGUCACAAAAUCAUGCUUGGCCACAAAUGGAGUUGAAAUAAAAGAAAGCGAUGCACCAUUGUCAAAAAGAACUUUUGCAGGAACAUCGUUAACAGGAAGGUUACCCAUGGUCACAUCUGGUGAGUCCUCUGCCUGAGCUGCAUUCAGCAAAUUGACCUUGGCGUGCUUGGGGUUAUGCUUGACCACAACUGUACUUGCCGAUCUGACAGGAGGAGGAGGAAGACGCCUCUGGUUGAAACACUUGUUGGCAUAGUGACCCUUCUGUUGGCACUUGUUGCACAUGACCUCUGAAAGCGGACGGUGAUACGGAGCAAUCGAUCUUGGAGCUUGAGACGAAGUCUUGUUCUGAAAGCCAGGGUUGGGUGGCUGGGAAGAACCACUGCCACCUUUGCUCUUCUGCUGAUACGGCUGCCGGAACGGAGGAGGAGGAAGCCAAAACUUCUGCUGCUUGGCCACUUGAGUAGAGGAAGAAGGAGUAACAUCUCUGACUCGCUUCUUGGAAGCAUCACACCUCAACUGAGCAGCCUCUUGCUUCAGUGCCAUGUUGUAGAACUCAUCGUAUCUCAAGGGCUCAAAGAGGACAAGAGCGAGCUGAAUUUCUUCUCUGAGACCACCCCUGAACUGAUAUAUCAUGCUCUUCUCAUCAGGGACGUCCUGCUUAGCAAAGCGGGCGAGCUUUUGGAAGAACUUGUUGUAGUCAUAGACAGACAAAGAGCCUUGCUUCAGAUUGCGGAAUUCCUCACGCUUGCUUUCAACCACGCUCUGCGGAAUAUGAUGAGCUCGGAAAUCUCGACGGAAAUCAUCCCAAGUGAUAACACGUCCACCUCUGGAAUCCUUGUACUGCUGGAACCAUUCUGCAGCUUGAUCUUUGAGUUGGAAGGAAGCGAACUUAACAAAGUCCUCAGCCUGACGUUACUGCACUUGAAAUGCUUGCACAGAUCUACAAGCCAAUCGUCAGCAUCGGUUGCCUCAACACAAUUGCUGAAAGUCUUUGGCCCACUAGCAAGGAACUGGUUGAGUGUAGCAAAGUGAGUCUGAUUGCUGCCUUGAUUCCCUCGACUACCUUGAUUGCGCUCUUGAAGAAUUUGCAUGAUCAACUGUGUAUUUGCAUUGGUUGCGGCCAUCACAGCUUGCCAUGCCUCUGGAGGAGGUGGAGGUGGUGGCGGAUCAGGAUUCGGAGUCGUGCGCGUUGGAGGAGCCAUCCUGAAGAGGUUGACCACCAUUAGCACAUUGACAGAUAAAUAUUGAAGCUGAAUCCAACGGAAUGAAAAUUGCAACAUAUAGUCUUCACAUCUGAACAAAAUGAACGAAUGCAUUCCUCUUAAAAUGGUCACAUAUCCAUAAAUUGAGAAGCCACGUAGAAUUAAGGUAGAGAAAUAAAUCAACAAGGUACGGAUCAAGAACGAAUAAUCGGUAAGAAAUCCCAAUCUCAAACCAAUAUCCAUGGAAGAAAAACUAGAGCUACUAGAAUUCCCACCUAUGAAACUUCCGAACCUUUCCGGUUAUGCAAUCAGGUGUUGGGGAUACAGGGGAAGCAUAAUAUCUCACCCAAACUAGCAAAUCCUACAUCCAGCUGUAUCCAUCCUUCAACACAUAACCAAGAAACCUUCGGAAACCAUCUACCUCAACCUUCAAAAAGCAUCCAUUAUACAAGUAAUGGCGAUACUCCCAAACUCCCGCCCAGUACUGGGUGGCGUCGAGGUUAUCUCACCAACGAACUGCAUAAAAGAGAUUUUUGAUGUCGGCGUACUAGACUCAGGUAUUCCAGAACUGUAACGAUAAAAUUAUGAUGACAACACCUCAGAGCUCAACUCCCCGGGACACUUCCACUAAACCCCUGACAGGAGGCACCAAGACAAUGUUCUCAUCAUAAAACCAUCGGAACGAUUCCAAGAUAUCCGCGUGAUCCUAAAUUUUUUUUAGUGAAAUUUGAGAAGAGAAGAGUCAAAACUCUACGUCAGGAAGCCUUACCAGAGCGAUGAGGAGACUGGGAAGUAAAACGAAUUCCUAAUCUCUCUGAUAUAUAAUUCCUAAAAGACUCAAAACAUUUUUCUAGACACAACUCGGCCGCUAAAAACGAUCAAGCAAUGGGGCUCCUAAGGUCGGGGAAGGCUCUGAUUACGAACUUGUAACACCCUCGAUGUGACUAUAGCUCCCACGUGUCGAGGCACGACUUAGAGACAUAAUCACAUUGAAGGCAUAUGUCGCAAGUUAGGCAAUCUUCACAAUGUCCCAUGUAAUAUAAUAAUAAAAAGGGAGAUAACAUAGUUGGCUGACACUCGCCACGUCAAUCAAGUACAGAAAUAACAUUACAUCAUUCAAACACUCAUGGCCCGACUACGGCGCCAAAAUAAAGAGAACCCAACAUGCGACAAUGGUCCCAAUCACCCCCAACUGGGCACCACUACUGAUCAUCGGGAAAGGAAACAUAGUAUCGUUGAGAGUCUUCGUUGAACUCCCACUUGAGCUCGUACGUGUCUCCUGGAGCAGAAUCAUCAGGCCCUGCAUCUGGUGUAAUAGUAAUCUGUGAGCCACAGGGACUCAGCAAUCUCGCACCCUCGCGAUCAAGACUAUUUAAGCUUAUAGGUAAGGCAAGAUAAAUAUAUGGAGAUGCAGCAAGCGACUAGCAAGUAUGGUGGCUAACUUAUUCGCAAAAGAGAGCGAGAAGAGGAGGCAAAGCACGAGCGAGAUACUAGAGAGUAACCUGCGCAAACAUUACUCCAACACCGUGUCCACUUCCCGGACUCCACCGAGAAGAGGCCAUCACGGUAACACACUCGGUUCAUUCAUUUUAAUUUAAUUAAGGUUCAAGUUAUCUACAACCGGACAUUAACAAAUUCCCAUUUGCCCAUAACCGCGGGCACGGCUUUCGAAAGAUCAAUCCCUGCAGGGGAGUCCCAACUUAGCCCAUGACAAGCUCUCACGGUCAACGAAGGAAUGGACCUCCUCCCAAGACGUUCCGAUUAGACUCGGUAUCUCGGUAAUUCAAGACACUUCAACAGGUUAAAACAAAUCCAGCAACACCGCCCGAAUGUGCCGACAAAUCCCGAUAGGAGCUGCACAUAUCUCUUUCUCAGGGCACACUCAGAUGAACACUACGUACAACUAAAACCAACACUCAAGUUGCCCCGAGGUGGCGCUACAAGUGGCUCUAUUUGGACCAACACUCAGAGGAGCACUGGCCCGGGGGGGUUUAAAAAUAAGAUGACCCUCGGGCUCCGGUAACCCAAGGGAAAAAAUAGGCUAGGUGGCGAAUGGUAAAACCAAGGUUUGGCAUUGCUGGAAAAGCUUUAAUCAAGGCGAACUAUCAAGGGGUUCCCAUUAUAACCCAACCGCGUAAGGAACGCAAAAAUCCGAGAACAUAACACCGAUAUGACGGAAACUAGGGCGGCAAGAGUGGAACAAAACACUAGGCGAGAGGCCGAGCCUUCCACCCUUUACCAAGUAUACAGAUGCAUUAAGAUAACAAGGCAAUAUAAUGAUAUCCCAACAAGUAAAUAAAAGAUGUUCCAACAAGGAACGGCCUCCAAUCUUCACCUGCAACUAGCAACGCUAUAAGAGGGGCUGAGCAAAGCGGUAACAUAGCCAAUCAACGGUUUGCGAGGACAAUGGUGGGUUAGAGGUUUGACAUGGCAAUUUGGGAGGCUUGCAAGCAAGUGGUAGGCAUCGUAGCAAUGGCAUAGCAAAAGAGCGAGCAAACUAGCAUAGCAAAGAUAGUAGUGAUUUCGAGGGUAUGAUCAUCUUGCCUGCACGGUUGUCAGAGUUGACUGGAUCCUCAAAAGCAAACUCAACGGGCUCCUCGUUAGCGAACUCGUCUCCCGGCUCUACCCAAACAAGACAAACAAGCAACAAGGAUACAAUCAACCACGUGCAAGAACAAGCAAUAAGAUGAAAUGAUGACAUGCUAUGCGGGAUGCGAUGCGGGAUGCAAAAUGCAAGAUAUGACAGGAAAUGCAUGAACCUGGCCUCAACUUGGAAAUCCAAGUGUGCCACUGGAAAUAUGAGAUGAAAUCGCUUGAAAACGAUAUAAAGAACGCCAGAAUCGGAGUUACGGCUUGGAAAUGGCAAGCGAUUCAAAAAUGACACCGGUCUGCGAUUUACAGGUAGUAGGCAUCUAAAUGCAAUGAGAUGAACAUGCUACAGUACCCAAACAUGACAACAAAAUACAUGGAAGGGAUGCACACAAGAUGCUUAACAAAAGUCUAGCACUGAGCUACGGCCAAUUCAUCCAUCAGGAGGUUAAAACAAGCAUGGCAAAAACGCAAAUGGUAAAACAGAUCUCAGACUUAGUGAAAUUAACACUUGUCUGGAAUUUCAGAUCAUAUAGCCCUCUUCGGAGCAACAAAACAACAUGCUACAGGACCUGAACAUGACAAAGAAAGACAUGGCAUGGAGCUAAUCAACAAGCUUAACAAAAGUCACUUAGUGAGCUUGAGCCAAAAGGGAUCACAAAAUAUACUAACAAGCACACGAACAUAGCAAAAACAUAAUCAGUUUUCAGACUUAGUGAAAACUGCGACAUGCAGAAACAUAUCUCACGAAGGCAUGUUUAUGAGCUCGAUGCACUCACCACGGUGCAAGUCACGGCAAGACAAGCAUACAUCCCUUAAGAAGGCACAAAAUGCAAGCUAGACAUGGCAAGAACAAUGGCAUAGCAUGCACGGAUCAACUACAAUGACAUCGGCAAAAUCGCAAACAAGUUGACGAUCUGUCCAGAUUCGCAAUGAAGCAAAAGUAGAGCUCGAUUGACUCAAGCUAGGGUGCUCCAUAAUUGCAAACAAAUACAUGGAUGGGUAAAGCACUACAAUAUUAACAAAACUCCCUUACUGAUCAUCCUCAAAAGAGGCACGGAUCGCUAGGAAACAACAUGAACAUGUGGCAUCGUGAACUAAACAAUCCCAGGACUUAGUGAAAUUACUAAGUCCCUGAAAACAGAAUUAGCAAGUGCACCACUUUGCAAGCUUGCACAAGUCACCACACACAUCCUAAAAAUAUAUGGGUUGCACCUCUGGAAAGAUGACAAAACCCCUAACAAAACACAUGUAGAACUCAUGGGCAUAGCAAGCACACAAUAAUCAUGGCAAAAACGACAAAAGUGCUAAACGGAGUAACAGAUCUGACAAUUAACUCAAGUAGCCCUCUUCUAACCGCAUUUCGGGCAUCAAGAUAAGCUCAAAUGAUGUACUCUCUGAGAUGAACAUUUUGAUAUGCUAUAUGCCCAAAUCAGAGCUACGGAUGCAAAGUUACGGGGCCGCGAACAGGGGCAUAUGAACUAAAAAUAUCCGGGACUUGGUGAAAAAAACUACCCCUAGGGUUUACUGUAGCAACCCCGAUCCACAUCGGAUCUCGCGGCACUGUAGCUGGCUGGACCCGAGUUCGCCGGAGCCGGCGUGGAGGAGGGAGGAGGCGGCCGGCGAGGCCGCGGUCGUCGGUGGCCGAGGCGGCGGCGGCGGCGGCCGGAGCUNNNNNNNNNNNNNNNNNNNNNNNNNNNNNNNNNNNNNNNNNNNNNNNNNNNNNNNNNNNNNNNNNNNNNNNNNNNNNNNNNNNNNNNNNNNNNNNNNNNNNNNNNNNNNNNNNNNNNNNNNNNNNNNNNNNNNNNNNNNNNNNNNNNNNNNNNNNNNNNNNNNNNNNNNNNNNNNNNNNNNNNNNNNNNNNNNNNNNNNNNNNNNNNNNNNNNNNNNNNNNNNNNNNNNNNNNNNNNNNNNNNNNNNNNNNNNNNNNNNNNNNNNNNNNNNNNNNNNNNNNNNNNNNNNNNNNNNNNNNNNNNNNNNNNNNNNNNNNNNNNNNNNNNNNNNNNNNNNNNNNNNNNNNNNNNNNNNNNNNNNNNNNNNNNNNNNNNNNNNNNNNNNNNNNNNNNNNNNNNNNNNNNNNNNNNNNNNNNNNNNNNNNNNNNNNNNNNNNNNNNNNNNNNNNNNNNNNNNNNNNNNNNNNNNNNNNNNNNNNNNNNNNNNNNNNNNNNNNNNNNNNNNNNNNNNNNNNNNNNNNNNNNNNNNNNNNNNNNNNNNNNNNNNNNNNNNNNNNNNNNNNNNNNNNNNNNNNNNNNNNNNNNNNNNNNNNNNNNNNNNNNNNNNNNNNNNNNNNNNNNNNNNNNNNNNNNNNNNNNNNNNNNNNNNNNNNNNNNNNNNNNNNNNNNNNNGCGCGGGGCGGCCGGCUCGCGGGGGCCUCGCCUGGGCCGGGCGGGCCGGCGGCGGUGGGAGGUGGCGGCCGCCACGUGUUGACGCGCGGGUGGCUGGAGGCGGCGGGCGGACGCUGUCCGGCCCCGUCCGGACACGUCCGGCGGCGGCGGCGGAUGGAUCUAGGGUUUAGGGGGGAGGGGAGACCCGUGAAUUUCGGAGGGGGGUGUAUAUAUAGGCAUAGAGGGAGCUAGGAGAGUCCAAAUGAGGUGCGGUUUUCGGCCACGCGAUCGUGAUCGAACGCUCUAGGACAUGGAGCAGAGUUUGGUGGGUUUUGGGCUAAAUUGGAGGGGUGUUGGCUGCAACACACACGAGGCCUUUUCGGUCCCUCGGUUAACCGUUGGAGUAUCAAAUGACGUCCAAAUGGUACGAAACUUGACAGGCGGUCUACCGGUAGUAAACCAUGGCCGCUUGGCAAAUCUCGGUCCAAUCCAGAAAUGUUUAAUCCCCACACACGAAAGAAAGCUAGAAAUGACCACCGGGGGAGAACAAAGCGCCGGAAUGCAAAACGGACAACGGGGAAAAUGCUCGAAUGCAUGAGAUGAACACGUAUGCAAAUGCAAUGCACAUGAUGACAUGAUAUGAGAUGCAUGACAAAGACAACAACACACGGAGACAAAGACCCGAACCCGAGGAAAUAAAUAUAACUUAACGUCGAAAACGGCAAGAGUUAGAGUACAAAUAGGGAAAGUUAGAUCCGGGGUCUUACAUUGUAUCUCUGGGGUGCCCCCAGGCCCCCGUAUAUAAAGGAGUGGAGGAGGGGGCCGGCCAAGGAGGGUGGCGGGCCCAAGGGGGGGAGUCCAACUCCCACCGGGAGUAGGACUCCCCUUUUUCCUAUUAGGAGUAGGAGAGGGAAGGAAGAAGAAGGAGGGAGGAAGGAAAGGGGGCCGGCCCCCCUCCCAAUUCGGAUUGGGCUUGGGGGGGGCCCUCCCUUGCUCCUUUCCCCUCCUUUCCACUAAGGCCCAAUAAGGCCCAUAUACCUCCCGGGGGGUUCCGAUAACCUCCCGGUGAUCCGGUAUUGUCCCAAUCUUACCCAGAACCUUUCCGGUGUCCAAAUAUAGUCGUCCAAUAUAUCGUUCUUUAUGUCUCGACCAUUUCGAGACUCCUCGUCAAGUCCGUGAUCACAUCCGGGACUCCGAACAACCUUCGGUACAUCAAAAUAUAUAAACUCAUAAUGAAAUUGUCAUCGUAACAUUAAGCGUGCGGACCCUACGGGUUCGAGAACAAUGUAGACAUGACCGAGACACGUCUCCGGUCAAUAACCAAUAGCGGAACCUGGAUGCUCAUAUUGUCUCCUACAUAUUCUACAAAGACUUUAUCGGUCAGACCGCAUAACAACAUACGUUGUUCCCUUUUUCAUCGGUAUGUUACUUGCCCGAGAUUCGAUCGUCGGUAUCUCAAUACCUAGUUCAAUCUCGUUACCGGCAAGUCUCUUUUACUCUUUCCGUAAUACAUCAUCCCGCAGCUAACUUAUUAGUUGCAAUGCUUGCAAGGCUUAAGUGAUGUGCAUUACCGAGAGGGCCCAGAGAUACCUCUCCGAUAAUCGGAGUGACAAAUCCUAAUCUCGAAAUACGCCAACCCAACAAGUACCUUCGGAGACACCUGUAGAGCACCUUUAUAAUCACCCGGUUACAUUGUGACGUUUGGUAGCACACAAAGUGUUCCUCCGGUAAACAGGAGUUGCAUAAUCUCAUAGUCAUAGGAACAUGUAUAAGUUAUGAAGAAAGCAAUAGCAACAAACUAAACGAUCAAGUGCUAAGCUAAUGGAAUGGGUCAAGUCAAUAACAUCAUUCUCCUAAUGAUGUGAUCCCGUUAAUCAAAUGACAACUCAUGUCUAUGGCUAGGAAACAUAACCAUCUUCGAUCAAUGAGCUAGUCAAGUAGAGGCAUACUAGUGACACUCUGUUUGUCUAUGUAUUCACACAUGUAUUAUGUUUCCGGUUAAUACAAUUCUAGCAUGAAUAAUAAACAUUUAUCAUGAAAUAAGGGAAUAAAUAAUAUCUUUAUUAUUGCCUCUAGGGCAUAUUUCCUUCACUCUCCCACUUGCACUAGAGUCAAUAAUCUAGUUCACAUCGCCAUGUGAUUUAACAUCAAUAGUUCACAUCACCAUGUGAUUAACACCCAUAGUUCACAUCGUCAUGUGACCAACACCAAAAGGGUUUACUAGAUUCAAUAAUCUAGCUAGUUCACAUCGCUAUGUGAUUAACGCCCAAAGAGUACUAGGGUGUGAUCAUGUUUUGCUUGUGAGAGAAGUUUAGUCAACGGGUCUGCCACAUUCAGAUCCAUAAGUAUUUUGCAAAUUUCUAUGUCAACAAUGCUCUGCACUAAGCUACUCUAGCUAAUUGCUGCCACUUUCAAUAUGUAUCCAGAUUGAGACUUUGAGUCAUAUGGAUCAGUGUCAAAACUUGCAUCGACGUAAACCUUUACGACGAACUUUUUGUCACCUUCAUAAUCGAGAAACAUAUCCUUAUUCCACUAAGGAUAAUUUUGACCAAUGUCCAGUGAUCUACUCCUAGAUCACUAUUGUACUCCCUUGCCAAACUCAGGGCAGGGUAUACAAUAGGUCUGGUACACAACAUGACAUACUUUAUAGAACCUAUGGCUGAGGCAUAGGGAAUGACUUUCAUUCUCUCUCUAUCUUCUGUCGUGGUCGGGUUUUGAGUCUUACUCAACUUCACACCUUGUAACACAGGCAAGAACUUUCUUCUUUGACUGUUCCAUUUUGAACUACUUCAAAAUCUCGUCAAGGUAUGUACUCAUUGAAAAACUUAUCAAGCAUCUUGAUCUAUCUCUAUAGAUCUUGAUGCUCAAUAUGUAAGCAACUUCACCAAGGUCUUUCUUUGAAAAACUCCUUUCAAAUAUUCCUUUAUGCUUUUCAGAAUAAUUCUACAUUAUCUCCGAUCAACAAUAUGUCUUUCACAUAUACUUAUCAGAAAUGUUGUAGUGCUCCCACUCACUUUCUUGUAAAUACAGGCUUCACCGCAAGUCUGUAUAAAACUAUAUGCUUUGAUCAACUUAUCAAAGCGUAUAUUCCAACUCCGAGAUGCUUGCACCAGUCCAUAGAUGGAUCGCUAGAGCUUGCAUAUUUUGUUAGUACCUUUAGGAUUGACAAAACCUUCUAGUUGCAUCAUAUACAACUCUUCUUUAAUAAAUCCAUUAAAGAAUGCAGUUUUGUUUAUCCAUUUGCCAGAUUUCAUAAAAUGCGGCAAUUGCUAACAUGAUUCGGAUAGACUUAAGCAUGGAUACGAGUGAGAAACUCUCAUCGUAGUCAACACCUUGAACUUGUCGAAAACCUUUUUGCGACAAUUCUAGCUUUGAAGAUAGUAACACUACUAUCAGCGUCCGUCUUCCUCUUGAAGAUCCAUUUAAUCUCAAUGGCUCGCCGAUCAAUGGGCAAGUCAAUCAAAGUCCAUAAUUUGUUCUCAUACAUGGAUCUCAUCUCAGAUUUCAUGGCCUCAAGCCAUUUCGUGGAAUCUGGGCUCAUCAUCGCUUCCUCAUAGUUCGUAGGCUCGUCAUGGUCAAGUAACAUGACCUCCAGAACAGCAUUAUCGUACCACUCUGGUGCGGAUCUCACUCUGGUUUACCUACGAGGUUCGGUAGUAACUUGAUCUGAAGUUACAUGAUCAUCAUCAUUAGCUUCCUCACUAAUUGGUGUAGUAGUCACAGGAACAGAUUUCUGUGAUGAACUACUUUCCAAUAAGGGAGCAGGUAUAGUUACCUCAUCAAGUUCUACUUUUCUCCCACUCACUUCUUUCAAGAGAUACUCCUUCUCUAGAAAGGAUCCAUUCUCAGCAACGAAUAUCUUGCCUUCGGAUCUGUGAUAGAAGGUGUACCCAACAUUUUCUUUUGGGUAUCCUAUGAAGACGCACUUCUCCGAUUUGGGUUUGAGCUUAUCAGGUUGAAACUUUUUCACAUAAGCAUUGCAACCUCAAACUUUAAGAAACGACAGCUUAGGUUUCUUGCCAAACCAUAGUUCAUACGGUGUCGUCUCAACGGAUUUAGAUGGUGCCCUAUUUAACGUGAAUGUAGCUGUCUCUAAUGCAUAACCUCAAAACUAUAGUGGUAAUUGGUAAGAUACAUCAUAGAUCGCACCAUAUCUAAUAAAGUACGGUUACGACGUUCAGACACACCAUUACACUGUGGUGUUCCAGGUGGCGUGAGUAGUGAAACUAUUUCACAAUGUUUUAACUGAAGGCCAAACUCGUAACUCAAAUAUUUUCCUUUUGCGAUCAUAUUGUAGAAACUUUUAUUUUUGUUACAAUGAUUCUCCACUUCACUCUGAAAUUCUUCGAACUUUUCAAAUGUUUCAGAUUUGUGUUUCAUCAAGUAGAUAUACUCAUAUCUGCUCAAAUCAUGUGUGAAGAUCAGAAAAUAAUGAUAUCUGCCGCGAGCGUCAAUAUUCAUCGGACCACAUACAUCAGUAUGUAUGAUUUCCAACAAAUCUGUUGCUUGCUCCAUUGUUCCGGAGAACGGAGUCUUAGUCAUCUUGCCCAUGAGGCAUGGUUCGCAAGCAUCAAUUGAUUCAUAAUCAAGUGAUUCCAAAAGCCCAUCAGCAUGGAUUUUCUUCAUGCGCUUUACACCAAUAUGACCUAAACGGCAGUGCCACAAAUAAGUUGCACUAUCAUUAUUAACUUUGCAUCUUUUGGUUUCAAUAUUAUGAAUAUGUGUAUCACUACGAUCGAGAUCCAACGAACCAUUUUCAUUGGGUGUGUAACCAUAUAAGGUUUUAUUCAUGUAAACAGAACAACAAUUUAUUCUCUUACUUAAAUGAAUAACCGUAUUGCAAUAAACAUGAUCAAAUCAUAUUCAUGCUCAACGCAAACACCAAAUAACACUUAUUUAGGUUCAACACUAAUCCCGAAAGUAUAGGGAGUGUGCGAUGAUGAUCAUAUCAAUCUUGGAACCACUUCCAACACACAUCGUCACUUCACCCUUAACUAGUCUCUGUUCAUUCUUUAACUCCCGUUUCGAGUUACUACUCUUAGCAAUUGAACCAGUAUCAAAUACCGAGGGGUUUCUACGAACACUAGUAAAAUACACAUCAAUAAUUUGUAUAUCAAAUAAACCUUUGUUCACUUUUCCAUCCUUCUUAUCCGCCAAAUACUUGGGGUAGUUCUGCUUUCAAUGACCAGUCCCUUUGCAGUAGAAGCACUCAGUUUCAGGCUUAGGUCCAGACUUGGGUUUUUCACCUAAGCAGCAACUUGCUUGCCGUUCUUCUUGAAGUUCCCCUUUCUUCCCUUUGUCCCUUUACUUGAAACUAGUGGUUUUGUUUACCAUCAACACUUGAUGCUUUUCUUGAUUUCUACCUUCGUCGAUUUUAGCAUCGCAAAGAGCUUGGGAAUCGUUCCCGUUAUCCCUUGCAUAUUAUAGUUCAUCACGAAGUUCUACUAACUUGGUGAUGGUGACUAGAGAAUUCUGUCAAUCACUAUUUUAUCUGGAAGAUUAACUACCACUUGAUUCAAGCGAUUGUAGUACCCAGACAAUCUGAGCACAUGCUCACUGCUUGAGCUAUUCUCCUCCAUCUUUUAGCUAUAGAACUUGUUGGAGACUUCAUAUCUCUCAACUCGAGUAUUUGCUUGAAAUAUUAACUUCAACUCCUGGAACAUCUCAUAUGUUCCAUGAUGUUCAAAACGUCUUUUAAGUCCUGAUUCUAAGCUGUUAAGCAUGGUGCACUAAACUAUCAAGUAGUCAUCAUAUUGAGCUAGCCAAACGUUCACAACGUCUGUAUCUGCUCCUGCAAUAGGUCUGUCACCUAGCGGUGCAUCAAGGACAUAAUUCUUCUGUGCAGCAAUGAGGAUAAACCUCAGAUCACGGAUCCAAUCCGCAUCAUUGCUACUAACAUCUUUCAACUUAGUUUUCUCUAGGAACAUAUAAAAUUAAACGGGGAGCAACAUCGCGAGCUAUUGAUCUAUAACAUAGAUAUGCUAAUACUACCAGGACUAAAUUCAUGAUAAAUUAAAGUUCAAUUAAUCAUAUUACUUAAGAACUCCCACUUAGAUAGACAUCCCUCUAAUCAUCUAAGUGAUCAUGUGAUCCAAAUCAACUAAACCAUAACCGAUCAUCACAUGAAAUGGAGUAGCUUUCAAUGGUGAACAUCAUUAUGUUGAUCAUAUCUACUAUAUGAUUCACGCUCGACCUUUCGGUCUCAGUGUUCCGAGGCCAUAUCUCCAUAUGCUAGGCUCGUCAAGUUUAACAUGAGUAUUCUGCGUGUGCAAAACUGGCUUGCACCCGUUGUAGAUGGACGUAGAGCUUAUCACAUCCGAUCAUCACGUGGUGUCUGGGCACGACGAACUUUGGCAACGGUGCAUACUCAGGGAGAACACUUAUACCUUGAAAUUUUAGUAAGGGAUCAUCUUAUAAAGCUACCGUCGAACUAAGCAAAAUAAGAUGCAUAAAAGAUAAACAUCAUAUGCAAUCAUAAUAUGUGACAUGAUAUGGCCAUGAUCAUCUUGCGCCUUUGAUCUCCAUCUCCAAAGUACUGUCAUGAUCUCCAUCGUCACCGGCAUGACACCAUGAUCUCCAUCAUCUUGAUCUAUAUCAAUGUGUCGUCACAUGGUCGUCUCCCCAACUAUUGCUCUUGCAACUAUUACUAUCACAUAGCGAUAAAGUAAAGUAAUUAUUUGGCACUUGCAUCUUAUGCAAUAAAGAGACAACCAUAAGGCUUCUGCCAGUUGUCGAUAACUUCAACAAAACAUGAUCAUCUUAUACAACAACUUAUAUCUCAUCAUGUGUUGACCAUAUCACAUCACAACAUGCCCUGCAAAAACAAGUUAGACGUCCUCUACUUUGUUGUUGCAAGUUUUACGUGGCUGCUACGGGCUGAGCAAGAACCAAAAAAAGAGGCGCCCACUGCCACUAUGCUAUGUGUGUAGGCGAUAAAUAAAUAUGGGCCGCACGUACAGUUUUUUUAAAAUAGAAACAAAAGGAAAACCGAAUAAGGAAAAUAAAAUAAAAUUUUGUAUAGGCAUAUUUUAUAUCAAAAUUUCACAAAAAGAUUUUCUACGACAUGAACAUUUUUCUAACGUCAAAUAAAAUACACAAAUAUUCAAAUAAAUCAAACAGUACUACUACUCUAAUAAAAUCCAAUAAAAAUUAUUUUAAAAAUACCAAAAUAAUUUUAAAUUUAUUUCUUUCCAAUUUUCCUAUGUAGGGAAUCAUUUUACCCUAUUUUCCAUAUAUUUUAUUUUUGAAGAAAAAUAAUUUAAAUAAAAACCAAAAUAACUCCAAAUUGAAAAUGAUUUCAAUUGAGCGUUAAAUUUGGUUUCUUUGAAACUUCCAAAUCAUAUUUCAUAUAAUUUGAAGAAGUCAUUUUAUCUUCUCUCGUGAAAAUCAUUGAGUUGCAUAAAGUUUCUGAGUUGGAAAAAAAUAUUUCCAAAUGAAAUUCAAAGAUUUUCAAAAACCCUUUUCAUUUAUUUAAAUGGAAGAAGUCAUGUCAUCUUCUCUUUAGGGUUUUGUAUCUGAAAAGAAUUUGAAUUCAUGGAGAUCAUGAAUGCAAAAUAAAAGUUUAGGAAAGUCAUUUUAUUCCCUCUCAUUUAACUUUUAAAAGUUUCGAAUUCACUCACUUUCAGUCAAUCAAUCACACAACAAUCAAAUAAGACUAUCUAUUUAAUAUAACAUUUCAAAAUUUAGAAUUUUGAAAUGUUACAGGGCGCCCCUAUAUUCCUCUCGGAUUUGGGUUGGAUAUUAGGGUUGUCGGUUAACCCCGGACGUUUGAGGUCUGUUUGAGGUGUCUGUCUGAGUUGUUUUUUUGUGACCGGUCACUGUCCGGGCCAUCUGUUCGAACGUUUGAGGCAGGUUUAGAGUGCCUGGUUGUAGAUGCUCUUAAUGGGCAAGCCCAUUUAUUUCAAACAGGACUUGCACUACCAUGUAGACUCCUAGUGAAUUACAUCUUGAUACAUCAGGAAAGAUUCAGUUCUAAAGCAGCGUGCGUGCCUGGCGGGCGGCGGGCGGCGGCCUGGCCAGCGUGACCCGGCUGCUGUGUGCGCCCCUCGCGGCUACCCACCGGUUUCUGUCGCCUUCUUCGUCCGCGAGAAGGAACUGAGCUGGCAAAAACAAAGGCUGUUGCGGCUCGCGAGUGCGGAUCCAUGCACGCAUGAGACACACGCACGUCCGAAGCAGACGAAGCCAUUCUUCUUCUUUUUGAUGGAAGCAGACGAGGCCAUUCUGGUGUAUGCACAGAUUGGCACAGACGGCUCCAAAUCCGCUUCGACGAUUAGACCGGAUUUGCCCUUCAUGUCCAACGGAUCUCAGCGACCGUGUGCGGUGGUAAUGGGGUGCGGUAGAGGGGCAGAGAUGGCAGAGGCCAUGGGAGAGGCCGGGCAUCGUUGCUCACUGGACACGCCAACUGAUGGAGAGAGUGCUGAAACGGGUAUAAAAUGGCCGUCGAGCCACCCCCAUUCCCAACAACGAGAAAGGCCAGUGAGGGAGUGAAGGACUGAAGAACUCCUAGGCAGGGCACGUAUCAGUUCUGUCUUGCUUCCUCGAGGUAUGCGUAUAGCUAGACUGCACAACACUCUCGAUAUUCGUUUUUCUUAUCCAUGACUAGGGGUCGGCUCAAAGAGAAAUAAGCUGAAUAUGUUUUACUCGCUCAGUUUAUAAUGAAAGCGUGUUAAUUUUAAUGCAUAGAAAUGAACUUUAAGUCAUUCGUAUAUAUAACCGGGCCAAAAAUAGUACUGGUUCAUAUAGUUUUCAUUUAAAUAAUGUGUUACCUUGAAUAGAUGCGUGUGUGAACGUUUUCGGUUUUCAUCUAGCUUAGAUUCUGUCCUUUUAUGUACCUGAUGCGUGUGUGAGAUAGCUACAUGUCAAUCGCCUGACUUCGAAUUUUCGAUCAAUCGAUUUUGGUUGAAGGAAGAAACAGGUGCAAGGGAGGAAGAAGCUCACUAGUCAGGCUACCCCAGUAUCUAUCUUAGGGUUUAGUGUGGGGCGGUGAUGUGGGGCUUUGCCGGAGAAACACCUCGGCGCAGGGGGCCUAGAGGGAUGGCCGGCGGUGGUGGAAGACCGGCGGUGGGAGGUGGUUUAGGGAAGGGUGGGGCGGCGGUGGGAGAUGGUUUAGGGGAGGGUGGGGCGGCGAGACGGUCGCGGGAGCGCCGCGGCCGCGGGCGGCGGGGGCCGGCGGUUAGGGCUGGGCUGGAUCGGCGGGUGAGAGAGAGGAAGAAGAUCUGUCGAAGGUUGAAGACAACCAACGUCUAUUGGAUCUUGGUCGAACGGUUGAUACAGGAGAAGGAGAAUCGACUGGCCGUUUUCUGUUUUUCAGGCGAUUGACGUGUAGCCGUAGUAGUGUUUGUCAGUGCCUCGGUGUUAAAUUGGAUUAACCAAAUCUGCUCUUAAGAUCUAAUUCCAUCACCAUAAUGCCAUUUUGAGUGAUCGUGGUGUUCCCUUGUGUGUUUUGUGGCCUAACUUGCAUGGACAUUUUUAGGUUUUUGUGAUAUAUAUGAAUUGAGCUGAUCUUAGUCUUGCUCUUGCACUCUUGCUCACUAGUCACCGUACAACUUAGCUCUUUCGCCCUUACAUAUAUAAUCCUUUAUGUGUUCGAGUUGAAUCAGAUGGCGGCGGCAAUGGCCGCGACGACAAUGGUGACCAAGAACAACCGCGCCUCGCUCGUCAUGGACAAGAAGAACUGGUUAUUGCGGCCGGUCCCUGAGGUCGCCUUCCCUUGGAGCUCGCAGCCCGAGUCCAGGAGCUUGGACUUCCCACGCAGGGCUCUGUUCGCCAGCGUGGGACUCAGCCUGUCCCACGGCGCCCCGCCGGUAGCGCGCGAGCAUGACGGGAAGGCUCGGCCCGCCGACGACGUCGCACACCAGCUCGCAGCCGCGGGCGAGGCGGGCGUCCAGAAGGCCCAGAAGGCGAAAAAGGCCAAAAAGCAGCAGCUGAGUCUGAGGAAGGUGAGGGUCAAGAUCGGCAACCCGCACCUGCGGCGGCUGGUCAGCGGCGCCAUCGCCGGCGCCGUGUCGAGGACUUUCGUGGCGCCACUGGAGACGAUCAGGACGCACCUGAUGGUGGGGAGCUCCGGCGCCGACUCCAUGGCCGGGGUUUUCCGGUGGAUCAUGCGGACGGAGGGGUGGCCCGGCCUCUUCCGCGGCAACGCCGUCAACGUCCUCCGCGUCGCGCCAAGCAAGGCCAUCGAGGCAAGCCAGCCAGCCACCUCAAGUGCUUUUCCUUCAAAUUUCACUGAUGCGAGAUGCAGUGUCCCUGACUCCACAUGGCGCGGUGCAGCACUUCACUUACGACACGGCGAAGAAGUACCUGACCCCGGAGGCCGGCGAGCCAGCCAAGGUCCCCAUCCCCACGCCGCUCGUCGCCGGAGCGCUCGCCGGAGUGGCGUCAACCCUGUGCACCUAUCCCAUGGAGCUCGUCAAGACCCGUCUCACCAUCGAGGUGAGAACACAGAAUUCCAGCACAGUAAUUACUGUAUCUCAACCAGUGGCAGUGCCAUCUGACUGACGACCCCGUUGCGUUGCAUGCAGAAGGACGUGUACGACAACCUCCUCCACGCGUUCGUCAAGAUCGUGCGCGACGAAGGCCCGGGGGAGCUGUACCGCGGGCUGGCGCCGAGCCUGAUCGGCGUGGUGCCGUACGCGGCGGCCAACUUCUACGCCUACGAGACGCUGCGCGGCGUGUACCGCCGCGCGUCGGGGAAAGAGGAGGUGGGCAACGUGCCGACGCUGCUGAUCGGGUCCGCGGCGGGCGCCAUAGCCAGCACGGCCACGUUCCCGCUGGAGGUGGCGCGGAAGCAGAUGCAGGUGGGCGCCGUGGGCGGGAGGCAGGUGUACAAGAACGUGCUGCACGCCAUGUACUGCAUCCUCGAGAAGGAGGGCACCGCCGGGCUCUACCGCGGGCUCGGCCCCAGCUGCAUCAAGCUCAUGCCCGCCGCCGGCAUCUCCUUCAUGUGCUACGAGGCCUGCAAGAAGAUACUUGUCGACGAGAAAGAAGACGGCGGCGCCGCCGAGCCCCAGGAGGAGACGGAGACCGGACAGGCAGGAGGACAGGCGGCGCCCAAGAGCUCGAACGGUGAUCGGCCAUGAACUAGAUGAAGCAUUAUGGUGACCGUCAAAAUCAGAAGAAAAUGCGUGAUUUGAAAUUUUUGAAGUGUAGAGCCUAUUGCGAUUGAAUCCUAAGCUGGAAGUGGCGCCUUAGAAGUUGAAUUUCGUUUUGUUCAGGGAACAUGCUCCGUUUCAGUAAUGCCGUCGAAUGAUUUAUGGCACCUUUCUGUAAUCAAUUCAAUAAGGAAGAAGUCCACUUUUGGACCUUCAACUUUGCUCCAAGCUCACUUUUGGUCCUAGAACUUUCAAGCAGUCCAAAGCAUAAAACUGAAACUGAACUUACUGAUGCCUAGUUCUUUUGGCGGUUUCUAAAAUAAUCAUGUUCCUCCCUCCCCAGCUUA
rnacentral:lncRNA from 1 species